UUUUUUUUUUUUUUUUUGGUCGGCUCGCAAGGUGUGGGCACGCCUUGUAGCCCAUAGUCCUCUGGUCACGAGGUCUCUUCAUGAAAAAAUUUUUUUUUUUUCAAGAGACAGUCCUGUAAGGCGUGGGCACGCCCUGUAAGCCAAAGUCCUCUGGUCAGUGGCCUUUUCCAAUUUCUCCCCCCUUUACACAAGGAUAGCAUCAUACAGCUCCUAAUCUAUCAGCACUUUCAACCCCAAAUUCGUUUGCUUUGCGCAAAUGAUGGAUUUCAGACAUCCCUUGACAACACAGGGAUAAACGAGAAAGUUUAAGGGGGUCUUGGGUUAACAAACACGGAUAUCAACCAGAAACGAAAGACAGAAGCUCAAGUUGGUUCACUAUUGGGAUAUAAAAUGAGGGCUUGAUUUUUUUUUUUUUAGAUAGCUGAAGAGGGUUAAAUCCUAAAUGCCCUUAUCAUUUCAAAUACACCCAGUUCAUCAAAAUGCGGUCUUGACAUGUACAAAAUAGCAAGUUUUAGAAUGUUCAUACCAUGUGCGAUACCCACUCAAUCAAACAAAGUAGAGCAAACAAGAAUAAUAUGCUCAAGUAAGGCUCAAAAGCUCCCCAAAAGUUACAAAAAUGGGUGAAUUCCAUCAUACUCAACAUUCAAUAACAUUGCCAAGGGAAACAAAAUGCACGGCUAGCAUAUACGAUCACAUACCCACUCACUUUGAUUAUGUCAUUCAUCACAGCAACAUGCCCCAACACUAACAAGCAUAGAAAUAGCCAAAAAGACGACUAACUACAAUGUUUUUCCAUUUUUUUCCAUUUUUUUUUUAAGGUAACAAAGCAAAAAGAACUAAUGAAAAAGAAAGUAAUGGAAGCCACUCCCCCCACACCUAAAUCUUACAUUGUCCUCAAUGUAACCUAGAAAAAUAAAUUGCAAGGGCAGAGGGAGCGAAAACUUCCCUGACUAUUGAAAAGGUGCGACCGGAGCUUAAGGAGGCGGCGGAUGCGGCGGCUGGAAGCCAAUAUGAGCAUAGUAAGCUGCCUGAUUCUCUGCCUGAAUGCGGGCGAAAACCUGGAGCGCCAUAAGCCGGCCAUCUAUCCUUGCCAGUUGGGUGUUGAGUUCAUGGAGCCCCACUUGGAGGUCCGGGUAGCGGGGGUCUCCAGCAGGGGGAGGAUGAGAGGAGGACGGACCCGCCUUGUCCGGAUGGGGUGACGAGUCAGUGGAGGGUGCAGCGGCAGGCACCCGAGGCCGCGGCCCGCCCUCACCAGGAGGCGUAAACUGAUAAACAUCGCCCACCUUGAAAAUAACCCCCAUUCGCUCCAAACUACGCAAAUCCAGGGGUUCAUUUUCUCGAGCUAGAGUGUAGUUGUGCUCCUUGUCCAGAUCAAGCACUCCCACUCGAAUGGCCAAGUGAGUAAUGAGUGAUCCCAGUAUCACCGGCUUGUUACGCUUUUGCAUGACCGUUUCCAUCUGGGUGGCCACCCAACAUCUAAAGUUAACCUGAACCUUGUUGCGCAUGCACCAAAGAAAAUAGAAUUCCACUUUGGUAAGCGUGCCGGAGGUAUCCUUUCGCCCCGAGAAAUUGUGAGUUAAGAACCUGUGGACAACCUUCAAGACCGGAUCCUUCAGAUGGGAUGCCUUCGACUGACUCGGAUUGUAAACUUGACGAUCCGUGGACCACUCCCUCCAAAUGUCAAUGUAGUCAGUAGAGAACGGUCGGGUGUAGUCACACGCACUGUUUAUAUAUGCCCCAGAGGCAAUGGUGUCCUCACUAGCAAACCCCAAAGUUAGGUUAAACUCAUUAAUGGACAUACCAAACUGAGUACCUCCCAAUCUGAAAUUAAUGACCUCCGGCUCAUCCAAAGUGAUGAAUUCAUUUCUGUUGAACUCGAAUGUGGAGAAGAAUUCACAACACAGCUCCUCAAACGUAGGAUAGUUAAUGAUUAGAUAUUGUUGCCAACCUAUGGCUGAGAAUAACUGUUCAACUUCCCUUGCAAUUCACAAAUGGUCCAAGGUCGGGGCAUGAAAGCACUUACAAGGAGUAAAAGGGCGGUUUGCCAAGUUAUUAAACCGCUCCACUUGUGCCUGUGUGAGAUUAGUGACCGUUUCCCCCCCUCCUCCAGGAGAUAUAGUGCUCUUAUUCAGACCUAGACGAGACCGAAUGAUGGGUUGAACCGGGGCUCGCCUCUUGCGAGGUUGGGACCCAGACGGCCCAGCAGUUGUCGCCUUCUUUGGAGGCAUUUAGGGGCCACAGACAGAGUAAAUUAGCUCAGCGACAGCCAACCAACCACCAAGAAACAGAUAGGGGACCACAGUCCAUCGAAAUUACUAAGUAUUCAGCAGCUCACAGCAAAAGGGGACACAAUUACCCCACCAAACAACAACCAGACAACAAACACCAACCAAUGCCCCACUGCUGUCAAGUAGCCGACAACAAUAAAGAAAACCGAACCCACUUCACACAAAUCAAGAAAUCAGUCGCUAAAAGGCAACAAUCAGUGAGCUACCGACCACGUGUACCAACGAAUAAAUUCACUAGAGCCCACAGAUUUCUCAAGUAUAUAAUCACAGGGAAACAGAUAUAAAGUCUCUCCCUUCAGAUAAUCAAAUAGCCCAACACAAAGCGAAAUCCCAACAAUAAAAACUCCAAGACAUCAGUUGCCAGUUCAAAAAGAGAGAAACAGGAGUACCACUCUUAUGCUCAGUGCUCCUUCAAACCGGAGUUGGCCGAGCCAGUGCCGUACGGCGAGAGGACUGCGGACGUAUGUCUCGCGCGGCUGUGCGGGCGGUGAAGGUGGUCUGCGCGCUGGGUGCUGGGGAGGCGAGUCACGCAGAUCUGGAAGGUCGCACACUGCUGCCGUGGAUCUGCUGGGCCGCGUGGGCGGCGGCGCGCCUGGGAGAAGCUCGCUCGCGAUGUGGCCGCGCGCUGGAGUCGCGCGCUGCUGGGCUGAGGUGCGCGGGGGUGAAGGGAGCAGGGGCACGCGAAGGCUGCGCGAGGUGCUCGCUCGCGUUGGUGGCCGCGCGCUGGAGUUGCUUGGCCGUGGGUGACCCACAGAUCUGGUGGGUCGCGCGAGCGGCGGCGGCGGACUGUAAUGGAAGGCGGCGGCGGAUUGCUGGAGAGGCGCCGUGGAGCGCGCGAUGGGCAGGGCAGCGCGCAGGACGGUGGACGGCGGACUGCGGCGGGCAGCGAUGAAAGGCGGCGGCGGGCUUGACCAAAACAGAGGGGAGAAAUCGUUGCAGCGUAGCUGAAAGAAAUUAGGAGAAAAGAGGCCAAGACCAGUCAAAGAAGAAGGAAAAGUGAAAAAAGAACAGAGUCCUGGUCAAAAAAUUUUUUUUUUUUUCGCUAUCGGAGGGGUUGAAAGGCGUGGGCACGCCUUGGAGGGCAGUUGCUUCUGCCCACAACAUGUAAAUGAUGUCCAAACGAACUUUUUUUUUUUUUUUUUGCAAGUCGUGGGCACGCCUUGGAACCCCUACUCUUCUGUCCAACACCACAAAAACCAUCAAAACAUUAAAAUAAAACUGAAAAAUCAUAAAGUAAGGAAAAAUGAUCACAACUAAUAUUGUAAUUCUUGGGUUGCCUCCCAAGCAGCGCCUUUCUUUAAUGUCUUUGGCUAGACAUAGCACCACUCUUUAGUCUGGAUGUAAUUGAAUUUUCCUUGUAAUUGGUGGCCCUCCUCCAGGAUCCACAUGGCCAUUGAGUGCAACUUUUUUCCUAAAUUUUCUCUCCAUUUUUACCUCAUGAAUUGCUUUCAUCAUAUAGGACUUGUUCGCAGCAACUUUGAAUUUACCCCUAUAAGCAAACUUAGAAAAUUCUUGCACAGAGGGAUUAGUGGUAUACAUAGCAAACACAGAAUGAGAGUUAACAGGAUGUUUCAUUGUAUCAAAAAUAUUAAAGUGGACUGUUUCUCCAUCAAAUUUCAUCGUGAGAGUACCCUUACUAACAUCAAUUUUAGUCUGGGCAGUACUCAAAAAUGGUCUUCCUAGUAUAAUGGGUGAUGGAUUUGGGGCACUUCUAUCAUCCAUGUAAAGCACAUAAAAAUCAGCAGAAAAAAUUAAUCCAUCUACUUGCACUAAAACAUCCUCAACUAUCCCAUCCGGAUAAGCACAUGUACGAUCAGCCAAUUGAAUUAUUAUCCCCGUUUCUUUUAAAGGUCCUAAAUUUAGGGAAUCAUAGAUUGACUUAGGCAUCACAUUAAUAGAAGCUCAUAAAUCUAUCAUGACAUUUUGAUACUAGAAUGACCAAUCUUACAGGGGAUAGCAAACAUACCUGGAUCUCCGCAUUUGGGUGGGAGUUUCCUUUGUAGUACAGCUGAUACAUUCUCUCCUACCAUCACUCUUUCAUCACCCCUUAGCUUUCUUUUGUUAACGCACAAGUCUUUCAAGAACUUUGCGUACUUGGGUACCUGUUUGAUCGCGUCCAAUAGGGGGAUGUGUACUUGAAUCUUGCGGAACACAUCCAGGAUUUCUUUUUCCUUUUCUGCCCUCUUUGUCUUUUCUAACCUGCAAGGAAAAGGAGCUAUAUUAGAUUUAAUAGUGGGCGGAGGAGUGAAGGUUACCUUAGGAUCCUUGCGAAUACGCCUUUCCUCUUCAAUUUCCUUCUCUAUCUCCUCUUCACUUUUGCUUUUUAAACUUUCCACUUUAGACCCUUCCAGUUCCUUGCCACUCCUCAGCGUCAUGGCACUUACAUUCCUGGGAUUUACCUCGGGUUGCGAUGGCAGUUUCCCAUAAACGUGGGACUCCAAGCGGUUGAUGGCAGUUGCCAGUUGGCUUAUUCGAACGUCUUGGUCCUUCUUGUCAGCUUUGGUGUCCUGCUGGAGCUGCGCGGUAUUCACGGCUAAGAAUCUAAUCUCCUGUUGAAGCUGGGUAGUAGUCGUGGCCAGGUUGGUAGUAGUCGUGGCCAGGUUUUUGACUAGGUCCUCUAGAGAACUUCCUGAGUUGGAGGACGAGGGUUGCGAUUUUGGUUGCCAUGGCUGGUGGAAUCUUGGUGGACGAUUUGGAAAUGCAUUUUGUUGCCUGUUCCCAUAACUGAGAUUGGGAUGGUCCCUCCAACCCGGAUUGUACGUAUUGGAGUAUGGGUCGUACUGCCUGCGGGGCGCGGGCACGCCUCCGGCCAUGUUUACCUGUUCCGCCCCGUCCUCUUGCAAAAUGGGGCACGAGUCUGUGCAAUGGUCCAUGCCAGUGCAUAUUCCACACACCUUCGCUCGCGACGCGUCUCUCAUGGCUAAUUGCCUAACAACUGACGUCAAUUCUGACAGUUGCUUCUGUAAGGAUGAAGUCUCUACCUCGUUGACUCUACGGGGAGGGUUGCUCUCACGGAAGCCAAAUUGCUGGGAGUUCUCUGCCAUGGCUUCGAUGAGCUCCCACGCUUCCCUUGGUGUCUUGUUUGCCAGUGCUCCCCCACUUGCAGCGUCGAUGAUACUCCUAUCGGUUGAUUGGAGCCCUUCGUAGAAGUAUUGGAUUAACAGUUGCUCACUAAUUUGAUGCUGCGGGCAUCUAGUGCAUAACUUGUUAAACCUUUCCCAGUAUUCGUACAAGGACUCACCGGGGUAUUGUUUAAUGCCGCAGAUCUCCUUCCUCAAACUCGCAGCCCGGGAUGCAGGGAAGAAUUUUUCCAAGAAUUUCUUUUUCAGCUGCGCCCAUGUGGUAAUACUACCUGCUGGUAGGUAGUACAGCCAAUCUUUAGCUGCAUCUUUGAGAGAGAACGGGAAGGCUCUCAGUCUAAUUUGCUCUUCAGUGACCCCAGGAGGUUUCAUACUAGAGCAGACCACCUCGAACUCCUUUACGUGCUUGUGGGGUUCUUCGCCAGAGAGACCAUGGAAAGAGGGUAAGAGUUGAAUCAACCCCGAAUUCAGUUCGAAAGCGGUAUUCUCAGCCAAAGCGGGGAAUGUGAUGCAUAAGGGCUGGUGAGUCAGCUCCGGGGCAGCCAGCUCCCUCAAUGUUUGGUUGUUGGCCAUGCUUACUUCGUCUUCCGCUGACUCGUUUGCAGCAAAUAAGUGUCCUUCUUUUUGCCUCUUGGUCUCUUGCCUCCACCUACGCGCUGCCUUCUCAACCUCAGGAUCGUAUACUAAUUCAUCUGUGCGAGAAGAACGGGGCAUAAACCAGCAAAAGUACCAAGAAGAAUAGAAUAGAAUAAAAAUAAAAAUAAAAACUGAAUUUGAAAAGAAACAAAUAAUUCAAACGCUAGCUCCCCGGAAACGGCGCCAAAAAUUGACAGGUGCCGAAUCUGUGCAAUAAUAAUUACUAAAAAGUCCUAAUUACCACCUCAAUUAAAUAAUUAUAGAACAAAUCCAAGUACUGGAGCAGGGACCCUAGGUGUGCAAUGGGUUACUUGAUUCACCCUGUUCUCGAAGAGUUUGCUUGAUCCGAUAUACCGGGUUUGUCUAUAAAAAUACUAAUUUUGCGUACAAUGGCAAGUAGGGUCGAAUCCACAGGGAGCAGGUAGGAAAUUAUCUCUUUCCAAAUCAGAAGAACAAAAUUGGGGGAUUUUCAAUGGAAGGCAAACAAAAAUAAAAUAAAAUAAAACAAACACAAUUCAAAACUAACUCACAAAGCACAAUUCACUGAAAAUAGCAAUUAAUAAAAGUUCUACCCAAAGGAUCAACUGCUCAGGCACGGUCCAAUUAAAUGAUCAUCGAUGCAAAAAUAUUUCAUCCAUUUAUCACUAGAUUGGUUAUAGCCAUCAAUAAGUUCUGACAACCAACUCUUCCUUACUUUUUCGACAGUCAAGGUACGACCAUUGACUGCUUCUCUAACCAGAUAACAACCCUAGGUACGACCGUAGGAAUUUAAUUACCCAAUUGCAUUAAAGCUAGAAGAACCCAACCCUAACCAAUAAACACGCUAAGAGGGUUUAUUUAAAUUAGAUCUUGAAUUUUCCCAUCAUAAAGCCAAUUAUGGUGGUUGCCACGGGGUGUCAACUAAAUGAACAAUUACGGAUUCUAUUUAAUUAACGUGGCAGUAGGCUAUUAAAUUAAAUCAAAUACCCGGCCGUUGAUAUUCAAUUAAUCAAAUACCCAUGAACAGUUAAUUCAGGAAAUGCACGAAUAGUAAUAAAUUGGAAGAAAUAAUGAAAGAUUGAUUAGAUCUCACAGGUGUGAUGGACCGCGCCCUCGCGUCACCCUUUGGGCAGAGGAGAAAAUUAGCCGCUCCUCAUCAUGUCAAGCUCACGCGAUUUAAUUGAUUUCAUCUACGCAAACAUCCAAACAAUUAAUUUCAAGGAGCGGAGAGAUGUGAAGUAACUAAGGAACAAAUGGGAAAUUCCCUUGGUUCAUUUUCUUAUAUUCGGUCGCUCCUGAAGCAGAGUCAAGAAAAGGGAUAACAGCGAUGGAAAAUUGUAGCAAAUCAAAAGCGAACGUCAAAGGCGUCUACCGCAAAAGAUUGAAAAGGUGAACUCCUAAGCUAGUCUAAGUUGCGGCUGAAGAAAGCCAAAAACCCCCAGUCAAAAGCGUCUGACUGCUGACAAACCUUGGAAAAGAAAACUAAGCCUAAAAAGUAGAUGCCCCUUGAAUCUUCCUUGUUUCCCUUUUUAUAUCCGCCGCCCAAGAAAGUCAAGCAGAAGCCCACGGACGUCUGGCCCUUUCUUUGCUUUUCAAUUGAAGCCUUUGGAGUUUUAAUCCUGUGCUCCUCGCGGUUCACGUGGACCAGGGUCCGGCUUUCGGUUUCGUCCGCCUUCUAAGGCGUGGCCACUCCUUGGAACGGGAAGUCUUCUGGAAAUUCACCCCGCGAGAUCAUUUCUCAUGCCUACCACCUAAAAUUCACACAAAUAUCGAAUAUGAAUGAAACUCCAAUUCUUAGUACCGUGAAUAGCCAAAAUUAGGACAAGAUAAUAGUGCAAAAUACGCCAAAUAACCGUUCUAUCACUAAGUUUAUUUUAGAUCUAAUUAUCUGAUUUGAAAGUUUUUGGAUCUUGAAUCUAUUUCAACAGAUCCCAUCAUUAAUAUUGGAGUUUAAAAUUACAAUAUGCACUAAAGGGAACUACAAUGAUUUAUCUAUAGGAAGACAAUUAUGAAAUUUCUUGUAUUUUUCAGAUGUUGAUGAAUUUUCAAAUUUAUUGUAUCUAUUAAAUUACAGAUAUAUAAUUUCCAGUACAUGUUUAACCUGCCAUUAAAACAGUGAUAUAAAUAAAAUCAUACUGGACGAUUUUCAGUGAUCUAUUCAUGAAAUUUGCUUUUAUCAAAAGAAAAUCACAUAAAUAAUUGACAGGUGUCGAGCCUGUACAAUAAUAAUUACCUAGUCAAGAAAAAUACAAAUUUUGUAUAUAGCGGUGAGUAGGGUCGAAUUCACAGGGAUUGGGGAUAAUUCAUUUCUUCCAGAGUCCGAAGUCUAGGGGUUUUUUGGAGAAUAUAAAAUAACUAAUUAACUAACUAAUGAAACAACUAAUAGAAAUAAACAAGAAUUAAUCAAUAACCAAUACGACUCUAGUCAAAGGUGCAACUUUUCAAACACGGUUCAUUCAACUGAUCAUCGAUGCAAAGAUAAUUCAAUUACUCAUUAAUAGAUUGGUUAUAAUUGUCAUACACGUGAUAAAUAACCAGCAUUUCCUUACUUUUUUUAUAGUCAAGGUACGACCAUUAACUAUUUUCCUAACCAAGAAAUAACCCUAGGUACGACCAUAGGAUUUAAUUUCUCGAUUGCAAUAAGAAUUAGAAAAGCCGAACCCUAAUCAACAAACACGCUAUGAGGGUUCAUUUAAGUUAGAUCAUACAUUUCCCUAGCAUGAAACCAAUCACGCUAGUCGCCACUAAUAUUAAUCAAAUGAACAAUUACGUAUUCAAUCAAUUAAUCUGGCAGUAGAUUAUUGGGUUAAUUCGAAUAUCGGGCCCUUGACAUUCAAAUAACAUAACAAUCAUAAGAAGUUAAAUCAGGAAACGUACAAAUACCAAUGAAUAAAACAAAUAAGUAAAAAUAAUUCGAUCUCACAGAUAUUUAGAAUCGAGUCCUCAAAUUAACCUUCGACUAGAAAACGGGAAUUUAGCUACAUAUCCUCAAGGGAAAUCUGCAGGAAUCCAUCCCUAACCAUUGGUUUUUUCCCUCAAGACUAACUAAAGAAGAGACCAGCAGGCGUCUCCUUUUUCUUGUUCCCUCCAAGGUAGUAAUCACGCGGGAUUCCCGCCUUUUCUUCCUCUUUGUUCCCUAAUUGAAGUCUACUACUUCGGCCGUCCAUUGGCCAACCAAAAAUAGAAUUCUAAUUACAAAAGGAAACUUCUCCAACUAAUGCUAAUUGUUCCCUAAUAAGACAUCUAAUAAAAAGUGGUAGUUUCCUAAUUUUCAUCCAAUACUCCAUGUAGACCCCAUCUUGAAUUGGGAAACUAUUGAAAAAUCACCUCUUUUAUUAUUUUUUUUGCUCCACCUUCUUACAAUUGGCAUAAAAUAUCAAAUAUAAGUAGAAUCAAUCAAUUAAUACAAUAUUUGGUAAUAUAAACGAGGGAAACAAUCAUAAAAUUAAUGAUAAAAAUGUAACCUAUCAAUAACGCAAAAAUUUUGUACAACUUCAAGUAUGGAAGUGUUUGGAAAGCAUAAUUGGUGGGUAAUUUGAAAUUUUAAGAAAUUAGCGUUUGUACUGUGUAAAUAAAAGUGGUGGGGUAAUUUACUGUAGAGUUCCGACAUUGGAUUCCUUAGGUGCAGCCUUUUGCACUAAAGUCAUGCAAAAAUUCAUUCCUUCACGUGGCAACUGCAUUUUGACGGAAACCUGCAAAAAAAUAACCGUUGGUUGAGGAGAGUAAAGGCAUUUACUCCUGAACACAGCACAAAGGCUAGAAGUGCUCCUCUAUUCGGGCCUCUCUUCGCCAUUUUCAUCUGCCAACAGACGGGAAAGACAGCUGCAAUCAAACCCAGCUUGCAGAGACGUCCGGCAAACAAGAUCCUUGACUGAAGUUUUGAAUCUAUCGGACGCAUUUCACCCUGCCGCGGUCGACGCUUCCAACACCCAAACGGAAUUUCUUGCUCCGAGCCCAUUCCACUUUCUCCCUAUCUACAGCGGCAGGUACAAUUCCCUCGAUUUUCUGGAUUUAGCUGCAAUUUACAUUCCAUAAACCUGCGUUGAUCUGUCUUUCUAGUUGUCCACGGCUUCAUCAGCUGAUUAUCUCCCUUGGACACCUGAUUUUGUGUUGGCUGUGUGCGAAGAGUAGAUUUCGUUUAUGGUAGAUUAAAAUGUACUUAGGAUUAAUUGAACCCGAAUCUGAAUGAAUGGUGGAAUAAAGCUGCUCUGGCCUUUCAAAUUGGGAGGUUAUGAGCAUUAAAACUGGAUUAACUGGAUAUAUUGCAAGCAGGGAGAUUUAUUGUCUUUGGGCUUUUUUCUUAUCAUGGAAAGAAAAUUUAAUGGGGAAAAUAAAAUCUGUCCUGAAUUUAUUAGGAGGAUAAGUCGAUGUUAGAAGUUAAUUUUGCUUUAGAAUAUGUCAAUUUAAGCAGGUGAAAUAAUUGAUGGUGGACAGAAGUAAAAUAUAUUAUGACCCUUAAAAAAAUAAAUUCAUCACCCUUAAAAAAAAUAAUUGAAGUAAAAUAUAUUCUACAAUUACGUAAAUUAAAGAUGGACAGAAGUUGUUUAAUAAAGUUUUGCCAAAAAAUACAAGGGAUUUUCACUGCUUAAUUGCAUUGGCCUUUGGCAAUCAGUUUUCUUUUUUUCCAUGGUUUCUUUUGCUUUCUUUCCAAUUAAAAAGGUUUGCCUCAUAACGCACAAGGAUUGGACAAGUGUGAUAGGAAACAUAAAAGCAAAAUAUACCGGUCUGCUGUAAAAUUUAUAAAGUAUUUAAAGUUAAAUGUGGGUGGCGUCUGGAUGCCCAAGGCAGUAAUAUGCAAAAUAUUACUGAUAAUGAGCCAACGAGUCCCUGGAUUAAUACUUUGAAGUUAGCAGCAAGUUACUUGUCCUUGGCAUUGGCAUGUUACCUUCUUUAGAAUGAGAAUUACCAAAUGAGAUCCUGGGACUAUGCUCUUCCUUGGUGAUUACAUUAAAGGUCAAGUGAGCAUGCUAUGGCCUGAUUAGGAACGCAUAUUGAAAUGAGUGUACUGUCUCUUGUUGAUGCUCCUUGCUUUGUGUUUGUGCAAGUGAAAGUAACAGUUAUGCUAUUUUUCAAUGCUAGAUAGUCCAAAAGGUUUUUUGGAAAACUCUUGCUUUAGGUUCUUGAUUGGAUUUAGUUACAUAGACAAAUAAAGUUCAGCAGUGUUAAGAGUGAGCAAAGGAAAAGAUUAUUAUGCAAUUGAUGGCCUGGAUAGUGCAGGCAAUUUGGAGAAAAAAGGAUUAUUGAAUAUUCUACAACUGAAUCAUGCUUGUACUGCUGCUUUGUGCUCCCGUUUCCCUCCUCUUCUCUUUCAGCUUUGGCUUUCUAGGUUUAGAUGGACAUUGUCUUGUGAAUAAGCAAUGUGAUAUCAAUUUGGAAGGGGCCAAAUCCACACCCUAAGUGCCAACAGGACAGUAAAGCCUGUAGCAUUUAAUAUUGUAACUUCUUUCUAGAAUCUGAAGUUAUCCUUUCACACAACAAUAACAAACUGCCUUCAUAACACUCUUCUUUCAGCUAUCUCUACCAUUCUUUUAAAGACAUUCUAUGUUUUUUCCUAAUACUGACACUGCAUAAAGCAUUUGCUGUAAAUUUAUCAGAGUGAGAAAGUUUUUUCUCAUGAAUUAACACACAAAUUUCAUCCUUAAUGCUUGAAACAAAGAAGGAUCAAUUAUAGAUCCGUGACAAUUUGUGUCCUAUAUGCAGGGAAAUUUACUGAUAUCAAAUAAAUAUUAGAAAUUAGGAGACCGUAUAACUGGAAAACAUUUGCAUGAUUAUAGAUUGGAAUUAAAAGUUAAAAGAAUUGGACAAGCAAAUUAUUAUUAUUUUAUGACAGCCUGUGCUAUCAGUUUUGUAGUCCUGACAUGAAGCUUCUUGUCAUCUCCUUUGAUGCGGAACUCAUUUCUCCCACUCCAAGCAAAAUAAACUGAUGGUCUGAAGCUUUCCAACUACAAGUUGUAUUGCACUUUCAGUAUUAAGUUCAGUAUGUAACCCAAUUUAUGUAGUAAGUUCUCUUGUUAUCCGUGUUUGGAACAAACAAGGAUUUAUACCAACAAAUUAGAGGAAAAUAAUUUUUAUGGAUCCCUAAUAUAUUACUCGACAUUGAAAAACAAAUUCAGGAUCACACUGGCCUCUGUUGAAUGGAUACUUAAUGUAGCUUUUUUAAGUUUGCAAUACGCAAGGUACAACAACUACUGCUCUUAUCUAUUUGCAGCAAUUACAAUCAAUACCAAAUGAUUAAGUAAACAAAACAGAAUACUCUAUGCUUAAAAAUGCACACUAAUCAAAAUUUCAGGCUAUGCUUAUAGACCAAUCAAGCUUUGUUGGUUUAAUCUUUCUUCAAGAAGCUACAGCUGCUCUAACUUCGUUGAUGAUGGACUGCAGGAUGACAGAAGCAGGUUUUUCUCCUCCUUAACAAAAUUUUUCCUAUUCCUUUCUCCUCAAAUGUGAUGGACAUUAGUGGCAAGAGACAAUCUAGCUACUUGAUCAACAAGGUUGUUCCGCGCAUAAUGAAAACUAAUUAGCCAAGAAAGCGCAAUAUUCCAAGUAUAGGCUUCUCUAUAUGCCAAACUCAAUCCUGCACUUCUCUCCAAAUAUUUGCAGCAUUGUGGUAUGCAAAAUAUAGAUGAUUAAUAGUUUUUGCCACCUGUUUAGACAGAUAUUGCAGCAGCACAAAAGAAACCUUAGAACUGAUCAUUAGCUCAUACUCGAGAAGGGCUUAGACCACACAACCUCCAACCUUUUGCAUUGCAGCUCACACUAGACUUUCUUCUCAAUAAUGGAAUCAGAAAUACACCAUAGCAACUCUAGGGAGCAAGAAAGAUGGAGUGACUUCAAAAAGCAACCUUACUCAGAAGCCCUUUUCCAGUUUUCCUCCCAACAGGCCAAGCCAACUUGCCAUCAACAAGAAAUAGAUGAUACUUUAGCAGUUAAAGACCUCCCUAAGCUAAAACUGUCUGAAGUGAAACCACUUCCAGCAAAUAGCCUAUAGGAUGCUAGGAGUCAUACCUUAGGAAAGUAUCUUUUCGAUUUUCCACAAUGUAUUUAAUAAAUGGUUUUGUCAAGCUUUUGAAAUCAAAAAUUUUCCUCCAGCACCAAGCAGUAUCUUUUAGCAUUUCCAGCUUCCAAAUAGAUUGCCCUUAAUCUUAUGCAAAUGAAACCAUCUAAUCUACAGUGUAUUUAUUUUAAAAAAAAAGGGCCAAAGAAGUUAAACAACGCAAAAUUAGACAUUUGUUCCACACAUACAACCGUCAAAGUCCCAAUCCAUCUUCCUCUUGCUGGUAUAAGAUAUCCAACCACGAGACAGCGUGACAAUAAUACAAAAUGUAGCAAAUUUCAGUCUUGUGUGUGCAGCCUUUGGAAGUAUAAGGAAAGAACAAGAAUAAAGCUGAAUACUACAUGGAAAAAAAUUUAUCCAUUGCAGACUUCUACCAUACGUUAAUCUUUUAUUUGCCCUCCCAUUGAUCCUAGUUGUGAAUUUCUCAAUAAUAACCUUACAUUCUACUCCUCUAAGUGUAGAUCAGAGAAGAGGAACGUCCAAAUAUAUGACAGGAAGAUAUCCUCUUCUCAUUUUUAGACAAAAGCAGAGAGCUAAGCACCUUCCCUCAUAAACACCUGCCGAAAAGGCCUCACAUUUUUGUUAAUUUGGCUCAAGACAGGGGAGCUCUUCAAAACUGUGUAGUACCUGUUUUAUAACACUCAUGGACUUAUCACUGAUUCACUGGCAGCAGUUAAGAUAAACAGAUCAUCUCUAAAACAUAUAUUAUCACAUUUAGGGUGAAAAUCAAAACCUUAUUCCUCAAUUUUGAAAUCCAGCAAAGCAGCAAUAUUGGGAGUUCAAAGUCUUGAACUUUUGAUGUUUAAAUACCAGAAACAAUGUGCUCAUCUUUUAUGAUUGUAAGCAGCUCAAGACUACAUUUGUGAGAUGUUAAAAGCUUAGAAUCUAGUUCCAUCAUGAAGAAAAAUGAAUCUAUCAAAGAGGUAAGAUGCAGAGUAAUGUUUUAAACUGUAAAUGCAGUUGAUGAUAUACGUGCCAUUUAAGAUGAUCUAAAGGUCCUUAUUUAUGUAUACAUAACUGGAAAUAAAGUUGAGUUACCAGGUACUUUUCCGGUACAGUUGAAAAUGUGAUGAUUCCAACAUAUCAAAUUUAGCUAAUUAUUUGAUUAGUCUAUUUUGCCAGGGAUGUUGCACUAUGAUCCCAUGUGGAUAAUGCAGCGCAGGCCCUCUCCUUUGAGCAUGUACUCAAAUGCCAUGUUGAUCUCUGAGAAAGGCACUUCAUGGGUGAGAAACUUCUCAAAGUUCUAGCUCCUGUAAUUUAAAACCAUCAUUCUGUCAGGAACAUAGAGUCUCUCUCGUAAUUUGAUGCAAUUCAUGUUUAAUUCACACUAAAACUAAUCUUAUCCACUGCAGUAACAGACUUAAGAAUUAGUUCAACGAAGAGAAGGUAAUCUAAGAGGUUUCUAAAGAAUGAAGUGCAUACAGAUUAUUAUGUCAAAUUGUCAAUUCCUUGUUUAUAAGACUAGAAGCAUAUACUGCUUGUCUAAGGAUGAAUAUUUAGUGGAAUGUCAUGUCAGUGCAACUGGUUAAUUGAUGUACACAAUUGGUACAUAACUUGCCAUAACUUCCUUCUCCAUAAAGAUGCUUCUGGGUACUUCACACAACAGCCUAUCAGUUUUGGACAAAAGAAAUGAGUUUGCUUUAUUCAUGCACUUCUCAACCACUGAAGGAAGGUCAGUUCGCGGUUUAUAAUUGCCAAAAAAUGUUCCCUUGAGUGUCUUCUCAGUCAGGACAUUGAUUGGAUGAGUUCUGAAUGCAUCAUUCUUAUUUGGUACUCCAACAAGUACAGCAACACCCCAUCCCAUCCCUGCAAGGUCGUAGGAUUCAGUGUAGCCAGACUUUAGAAUUACUAAUUAUUGUCUUCUUGAAAUAUCAUACUAGCAAGACAUUGCAAUUCUUCUUGAUUUCCCAUCAUUAGGCAUCACUCCUCUAUUGGACUAGGAGCUGUUGGUCUUGCUGUAAGAAUCUGUUCUGCAUAUGAAUUUUAUACCAAGUACUAUUGUACUAUGGCUGCUGCUCCCCAGAAAUUUCAUGCUAUUGCUUGCCUACUUGUCUAUCAACACUGGUAGAGGAGUGAGGCUUAAUGAUGGGAAAUCAAGAUUUUCAAUAAACGGGAAACCAAUUUAUCAUUUUGUUGGAACUUCCACUUUCAGUGAAUAAACAGUGGUACAUGUUGGCCGUGUUGCAAAGAUCAACCCUGAAGCUUCCCAGAAGUAAACAUCAGUAUGGCAAAGGGAAGUGAAGAGGAUCUUCAGGCGAACUUCCAUUGCCUGGGGUGGUGCAACCUCAACUUCCUCAAUUACCAGUGGCUCCCCUGGUCCCCAUGCCACAGCAGCUGCAAAUUGCAACAACAAAAUUAAGCAAAAAUUUUUCAAAACCAAUCAGUAGAUGUAAACCAAACAAUUGUUCAUAACUCAAUCAAGUUGGUCAAGGCAUGUUAAGAUUACUUUCUGCAUUCAUUAGCCAACGAAAAAUCGGAGUUUUAUGGUGUUCGAUUUUGACUCAGCUACAACAGAGGAAGGAAAUGAUUUGAAAGGGAAGUACCUUUGCAGCGCAUCACUUGUCCUUCAGUACUGGGGCAAGUAGACUUCUUGAAUAUUCUGAAAACUUUUCUUUUGGCCAAAUUGAAACUUAGGCAGAUGGUUUUGUUGUGAAGAAAGAGUUCGUUGAAGGUGGAUAUAUAUAGCAGUAGUAAUACAAGUUAAAUGCAAUAGGUUUCAUUUUUUUCCCUCUUGGCUUCAGAAGAAAACCAGGAUUGGGAAGCAGAAGAGAAUGCUGUAAACAGAUGCUGCCUUGGUUUACAAUUUCCGGUUUCUGAAACAACUUUUUCCUUAAACUAUCCAAAAAUAAAAGAAAAAAAAAAAUCAGUAGUUGACAUUUCCGGGUACAGAUUGACUGAAAAACAAUCUUUUUGCGACUAACAAAACUUGAGGUUUGGCAUACGGUUCAUCCAAUUAGGAAAAAGAAACCGAGGAAACGAUGUAGUGUCCAAAUCCGUUAUUAAAAACUAUAAAAAGUUGAAAGCGAGCUGGUCUCAAGUUGUUAUAUUUUAUUACUGGUAUCAAUAAAUAAUUCUUGGUUGAUUUGACCAGAAAUGAAGAUGCUAAAUCCAUGGUUUUAGGAAAUGGGAAACCAGAUUUGAUUAGUUGUUUUUGUUUUGCAGGAAGCCAGUUUCCUAGCAAUCUUUUCUGCGGCAAAGGAAAAAAAAUGGAAAAGAAGUAACUAACAUUUGUCUAUUAGUUCUUUAUCAACUGUAUCUGAUUGGUUGAUUUAUGAACAAAUGGACCAAAUCAUUUAGCACUGUUUGUAACAUAAGCUUUGGCAUCUAUUUCAAGAGAUGUCGACAAAUAAUAUUGUAGGCUUUGGUAAGAGCCUUUGGUGGACAAAUGCCUGAUCCCAAUUGGUGGAGAGAAUAUGUAUUUCAUUCGCUUUUAUUUCCAAAGGUUUCAAAAGUUACAAAUGAGGCUUAUAACUUUUAUGAGUGAUAUGAUACAAGACCAAAGGCAUAUAUACCAGCUAGGGUUGCAAACGAAUCCAACUGCUCGCUAGCCGUUCGAACUUGAGUCGAGCUCAAGUUGAUUAAGUCGAAUUCGAGUUCAAAAAUACUAAACUCAUCAACUCACGAGUCGGUUUGAAUUCAAUUAUAUAUAUAUAUAUAUAUAUAAAUAGAAAAAUUACAUAUAUCCCUAAUAUUUUAUAAUUUGUUAAGAAAAAUUAUUAUUUUAUUCAUUUUUUAAAAAUAAAAUAAUUAUUUUUUUAAGGUUCGACUCGAAUUUGAAUUGAAUUCUAGUUCGAACUUGACAGUUUGAGUUUGUCAAGUUCGAGUUCAAGGUUCGUAAAAUUGUGUUAAAUCUCGGUUCGAUUAGGUUAAGACUUAACUCAGACUCAUUUGCACCCGUAAUACCAACAUUAAUAUAGAAACAUGAAUUGAGCACUUCGAGUACAUGAAUUUAAUAGUUUCAUAUGAACAAACUACGAGAAGAUACAUGAGCGUAUCAAUUAAGGAAUGAAUAUUUUAAUAUAUCUCUUGGAGAAUAAAUACACAUCCACACUUAUUAUUUCAUUAAUUUCAUAACAGAAUAUUCAUAUUAUUUUAAUUUUUAUCAUAUGUGGUGAAGUAAAAGAUAUUUUCCCAAAUGUGAUGAAUUGGCUCUUGUUUUCUUCGAGUUGAAUAUUUAUAACUUGCAGUCAUUUUUUUUCAUUAGACUUUUAUGAAACUAAAUUUGAAGACUUGUUAUUUGAUUUUCUCAAUUUCAUAUUGUAAAUAAAUCAUUUGUCAUAUAGGGUAUGUCCAUUCUAGUAAUGUGCGAAUUCAAAAUAUAUGGAAUUGAACCGGCAAAAGAUAAAAACUAUGGAAUUGAUCAAUUAAACGGUUAGUUCUAAACUUUUCAGCAUAUAAAAAUGUUUGGGAUUUCUUGUAUUUUUCUUUAAAAGAAUUCUUGUAUCAUUCAGACGGUUGUUUUUUUUUUUUUUUCAUCGUCCUUGAAUUAGGUUGAGGUAAUUCCACUUUUCACCCAGUUGAAGGUCAAAAUUAAGCAAAUUAGAAAAAUAAAAAUGUUCUUAGUUUGUGAAUUUUGGCACUUCAACGCUUGCUUUAGUUUUUGUAUAUAAAUUAGGGGAAAAGAAUGACAGUUCUUAUACAUUUACUUAAGUUUUGAUAGUUUUUAAUAACAUAAAAAUUAAACAAACUUUACCAAAAAAUUUUGUACCUUUUGUCCUACCUAGAAUUUCCUAAUACAUUUGAUCCUACCCAGAUAUGAUUCAAAACCUCCAAUAAAAUGAUUCCUUAUACAUCCAAAGCCUCUAUAUGAUUCAAUGUAUCAAUUUUAAUGCAUAUCUUAAGAAAUUUAUAAGACAAUGAAAUGGAACUUCUAUACGUCUAUGUGCAUUCUAAACUCUGAGGCACAAAUAAAAAUAGAGUAUAUUUUUUAUACACUAUCAGUUGAUAAUUUUUUUACACUAAUAAAGACCUUCAUAAACACCUUCCAUAAAGACCUCACAUUUUUGCUAACUUGGCUCAAGAGUGAGAAGCACUUCAAAACUGCGGAGCACCAGUUUUAUAACAUUCAUGGACUUAUCACUGGUAGCAGGUAAGAUAAACAGAUCGAUCAUGUCUAAAACAUAUAUUAUAACAUUUAAGGUGAAAAUCAAAACUACAUUCCUCAAUUUUGAAAUCCGACAAAGCAGCAAUAUUGAGAGUUCGAAGUCUUGAACUUCUCGGAUAGGAGAAGCUGCAAAGUCUGUUAUUGUCACAGAUCGGGUUGUGGUGCCGGAGCAUGGAGCAGAUGUUGGGCCGCAGACUUCGACUUUGAAUCCACUUGAGGAUGGGGAAUUCACUGAUCCGGAGUCUGAGAAUGACUAUUCCAUUCAACCAACUAAUGGCGCAUUCACAGAGGCUGCAUCAGAAGAGAAGGCGAUGGAGGCUGGCGACUCCUCACAGCAAGGUAAUGGAAUUACGUCUGAUGUGGCAAACGGUGCGCUCGCGAAGGUAGACCAAGUUCAUGACUCACGUGAUAUGGUGUCAGUUGGAGACACACCCUUGUGGGUACAAGUACAAGAACAGGAACAAAAUCCUCUAUGCCUCAAAAUACACGGUUUAAAGAUGUGCCACAAUUUAAAGAUGUGUUCGAAGAGUUUAAAUGGGAGAGAUUACAUGGUAAGAUCCCCCUCGUAUAUCAAAAGCCAUUUCUUCAUUCAAGUACAACAUGCAAUGAUGACAAAAAUGAAGAAGAAGAAGAUGAUUCACAACGCGAUAAAGACAAAGACCAAGACCAGAAACUAGUUCACGAACAAUUUACCCAAGUGAUUUCAAAGAAAGCGAGGAAGCAGCAAAAAGGUAAAACAAUGCAAACACGUCAAGAUGUUAAAUCAAACUCCCACGUUCACUCACAAUCCCACAAAUGUGGGGCACCUUCAUGUGGAUGAUUUUGUUCGAUUCAUCUGUUAUGUGUUUAGAUUCGCAGAUUUUUCUAUAUGUGCGUAUUAUUGUUGUCUUUAGCUCUUCCUUUUACUUUAACAGAGGUCAGGUUUGGUCCCCUCUAAUUCGCUGUACUCUUUUCGGAUAUUAAUAAAUUAAGGGAUGACAUCCCUUAAAAAAAAAAAAAAAGCUCAUUUUUUAUCAUUGUAAUCAGCUUAAGACUACAUCUGUGAGAUGUUAAAAGCAUAGAAUCUAGUUCCAUCAUGAAGAAAAAUGAAUCUAUCAAAGAGGUAAGAUGCAGAGUAAUGUUCUAAACUGUAAACGCAGUUGAUGAUAUAUGUGCUAUUUAAGAUGAUUUAAAGGUCUUUAUUUAUGUAUACAAAACUGGAAAUAAAGUUGAGUUACAAGGUACUUUUCUGGUACAGGUGAAAACAUGAUGAUUCCAACGUAUCAAAUUUAGCUAAUUAUUUGAUUCGUCUACUUUGCCAGGGAUGCUGCACUAUGCUCCCAUGUGAAUAAUGCAGCGCAGGCCCGCUCCUUUGAGCAUGUACUCAAAUGCCUUGUUGAUCUCUGAGAAAGGCACUUCAUGGGUGAUAAACUUCUCAAGUUCAAGCUCCUGUAUUUAUUAAAAACCACCAUUCUGUUAGGAACAUAGACUCUCUAUGGCAAUUUGAUGCAAUUCAUAUUCCCAUCAAUUCACACAAAAACUAAUCUUAUCUGCUGCAGUAACAGACUCAAGAAUUAGUUCAAUGAAGAGAAGAUAGUCUAAGAGGUUUCUAAAGAAUGAAGUGCAAACAGAUUAUUAUGCCAAUUCCUUGUAUAUAAGACUAGAAGCAUAUACUGCUUGUCGAAGGAUGAAGUACAUAUUUGGGGGAAUGUCGUGUCAGUGCAACUGGCUAAUUGAUGUACACAAAUCGGUACAUAACUUCCUUCUCCAUAAAGAUGCUUCACAUAACAGCCUAUCAGUUUUGGACCCAAGAGAAAUCAGCUUACCUUAUUCAUGUACUUCUCAACCACCGAAGGAAGGUCAGUGCGCGGUUUAUAAUUGCCAAAAAAUGUUCCCUUGAGUGUCUUCUCAUUCAGGACAUUGAUUGGAUGAGUUCUGAAUGCGUCAUCCUUAUUUGGUACUCCAACAAGUACAGCAACACCCCAUCCCUGCAACGUCAUUAUUCAGUAUAUUCAGACUUUAAAAUGACUAAUUAUCGCAUUCAAAUCUCAUAUUAGGUUAGCCACUACGUUUCUUAAAACAAAGUAAAGAGUAAGGAGAUUACAUCAUGAACACACUCAAAUGCAGAGAUCAUUGCAUUGAUACUUCCAGUACAUUCAAUACUGCGGUCUACACCCCCAUCUGUUAUCUCUGCAAGAACCUGAAGACAAAUUGUUCAAGGCAUCAUGAGCUGAAUAUCCAUUGUCAGGUAUAAAUUGCCUCAGAAACAAGAAAUACCUCUUGCACAGGCUUGUUGUAGUCCUUUGGGUUCACAAACUCCGUUACACCAAAUUUCUUGGCUGGUUACAGAAAAAUGAGAACAGACAGAAAGCAAUUAAAAGUAAGCCUAGUUUUCUUUCUUAUUUAGUUUCUUUUGUGAUUUAGGAACUCUAUAGCAGAAGCAAGUAUGAACAUAUGGAAAUGUGUAUUAUAAGGGCUUGUUGUGUACCUUCUUCAAAUCGGUUGGAGUUCAAAUCAACCCCAAUGAUUCUUGAUGCACCAGCAAUUCGAGCUCCUUCAGCAGCCUAUCAUAGAAAAGUAAUAGCAUGAAAUUUCCUGGAAGCAGCAGCCAUAGUACAAUAGUACUCGGUAUAAAAUUCAUAUGCAGAACAGAUUCUUACAGCAAGACCAACAGCUCCUAGUCCAAAAAUUGCAACUGUUGAGCCCUUCGGUGGCUUUGCAACAUUCAAGGUAGCACCAAGACCUGUGCCCAUAAUAUACGAUGCCCAUGUUAUUGUAGGAAUGAAAGGUUGAAUCUAAAAGGACAUCAAGUUAUGGAUUUUCAAACAAAUUUCCAACCCGUGGAGAUUCCACAGCUGAGAACACAAACUUUAUCAAGUGGAGCUUCAGGAUUGAUCUUUGCAACACAGCCAACAUGUACCACAGUGUAUUCACUGAAAGUGGAAGUUCCAACAAAAUGAUAAAUUGGUUUCCCGUUUAUUGAAAAUCUUGAUUUCCCAUCAUUAAGCAUCACUCCUCUAUCAGUGUUGAUCCUGAGGAGGUCACACAUAUUGCUCUCCUCUGACUUGCAGUGUCUGCAUUCCUUACACUCUCCUGUGAAUACAGGAAGCACAUGAUCACCAGGUUUGAGUUCCGUCACACCCUCACCAACACUUUCCACUAUCCUGAAAAAAAAAAAAUUCGUAAAGCACAAGUUGAUUUGGCUUAUGCCAUCCAAGAACAUUCUAAAUUAGCAGUCAAUCCAAGACAAAUUAUUCUCAUACCCUGCAGCCUCAUGACCAAAUAUUCUAGGAAACACUGGGGUCUGCCCCUGCACAUUGACAACAAUAAUCUUGUUAAAACUGGCAAAUAUUUGUUUUUAGGUGCAUGUACAACAAAUUAUUCUCAUGUCAUUAGAACCUUUGCUUCCCAGAAGUAAACAUCAGUAUGGCAAAGGGAAGUGAAGAGGAUCUUCAGGCGAACUUCCAUUGCCUGGGGUGGUGCAACCUCAACUUCCUCAAUUACCAGUGGCUUCCCUGGUCCCCAUGCCACAGCAGCUGCAAAUUGCAACAACAAAGUUAGACAAAAUUUUUUUCAAAACCAAACAGUUGUUCACAACUCAGUCAAGUUGGUUAAGGCAUGUUAAGAUUACUUUCCGCAUUCAUUAGCCAACGAAAAAUCAGAGUUUUAUGGUGUUCAAUGUCGACACAUCUAAAACAAGGGAAAUGAUUUGAAAUGGAAGUACCUUUGCAGCGUAUCACUUGACCUUCAGUACUGGAGCAAGUAGACAUCUUGAAUAUUCUGAAAACUUUUCUCGUGAUCAAAUUGAAACUUAGGCAGAUGGUUUUGUUGUGGAGAAAGAGUUUGUUGAAGGUGGAUAUAUAUAGCAGUGGUAGUACAAGUUAAAUGCAAGAGGUUUCAUUUUUAUUUUUAUCCUUUUUCCCCUUGGCUUCUAAAGAAAACCAGGAUUGCUUCUGCAGUAUUGGAAAGCAGAAGAGAAAGCUGCAAACAGAUGCUGCCUUGGUUUAUAUUUUCCGGUUUCUGAAACCAGUUGACUUUUUCCCUUAAACCAUCCAAAAAGAAAAGAUUAAAAAAAAAUAGUAGUUGACAUUGCCAGGUACAGAUUCUGAAAAAACAAUAUUUUUGAGACUAGCAAAACUUGAGGUUUGGCAUACAGUUUGUCCAAUUAGGAAAAAGAAACCAAGAAAACGAUGUAGUGUCCAAAUCCGUUAUUAAAAACUAUAAAAAGUUAAGAGAAAAGAAAGCAAGCUGGUCUCAAGUUGUUAUAUUUUAUUACUGGCAUCAAUAAAUAAUUCUUGGUUGAUUUGACGAGAAAUGAAGAUGCUAAAUCCAUGGUUUUAGGAAAUGGGAAACCAGAUUUGAUCAGUUGUUUUAGUUUUGCAAAUCCAAGUUCCCAGGAUUCUUUUCUGUGGCAAAGAAAAAAAAAUGGAAAAGAAGUAACUAACAGUUGUCUAUUAGUUCUUUAUCAACUGUAUCUGAUUGGUUGAUUUAUGAACAAAUGGACCAAAUCAUUUAGCACUGAUCGACAAAUAAUAUUGUAGGCUUUGGUAAGAGCCCUUGAUGGACAAAUACCUGAUCCCAAUUGGUGGUGAGAACAUAUUUUUCAUUCGCUUUUAUUUCCAAAGGUAUCAAAGGCUACAAAUAAGACUUAUAAAAUUAAUAUAGAUACAUGAAUUGAAUACUUUGGAUACAUGAAUUUAACAGUUUUAUAUGAACGAACUACGAGAAGAUACAUGAAUAUAUCAAUCAACCUUAUAAGGGAAUGGAUAUUCUAAUAUAUCUCUUAGAGAAUGAAUAGACAUCCAUACUUAUCAUUUCAUUAAUUUUAUAACAGAAUGUUCAUAUUAUUUUAAUUUUUAUCAUAUGUGGUGAACUAAAAGAUAUUUUCCCAAAUGUGACGAAUUGGCUCUUGUUUUCUUCUAGUUGAAUUUUUAUAACUUGCAGUCAUUUUUCUCAUUAGACUUUUAUGAAACUAAAUUUGAAGACUUGGUAUUUGAUUUUCUCAAUUUCAUAUUGUAAAUAAAUCAUUUGUAAUAUAGGGAAUGUCCAUUCUAGUAAUGUUCGAAUUCAAAAUAGGGAUAAUUUUAGAAACCUUCCCUGAGGUUCCUAACAAUUUCACUGAGCUCCCUUGAGAUUUAAAAAAUUACACAUACCUCCCUUGUCAUUUAAAAUAACAAUUUUACCCUUAAAUAUUUUAAUGAAAUUCCUUUAUUUGGUAUGCUUAUACUUAGAAGGAGUUUUAAAAUUAUUUUUUCAUUAUUUUUUCUUCUUAUUCCUUUUUUUUAAUUUUUUGUCAAUAAAACUGUAGAACUACCACUAUUGCUUCUAGUUUCUAUUGUAACCAAAUGCCGAACUAGUGAUUUUUUUGACAAGUUAAUUUUAUAUGUAAUCCAAUGUUUUUGUCUAUAUUUGUUUUCUAUUUUUUGGUACUAAAAUUAACAAUAAAUAAAAAAUAAAUGGCUCCAAAUCACUACCAAAUUAUGAUAAUCCCACUAUCCAAAAAAUUCAUAAAAUUUAAAUAAAUUAUUUCAACAUUUUCUUUUCUAUCUUAUAAAUAUAAAUCCAUAAUAAAGCAUCAUCAAAAGUAUCUUAUCAUAGUGAUAAAUUUAUUAUUAUAGUUGUUUAUCAAAUAGUAGAUAUGAACAUAAAAAAUUUGGCACCUUUUCAUUAUAAUUAUACUAGAUAAUCUUAUAAUUGUAUAGAAAAAUAAAUUAAAACUCAUUAUAUAAGGACAUUUUUAGGUAUUUAUUUAAAAAAUUGACCAAGUCAAUAUUAUUUUAAGAUUUUAUUACUAAAACUAUCAAAUCAAGAGAGGUAAGUGUAAUUUUUCAAACCUCAGGGGAGCUCAGUGAAAUUAUCAAAAACCUCAGGGGAGGUUUCUGAAAUUAUCCCUUCAAAAUAUAUGGAAUUGAACCGGACAAAAGAUGAAAACUAUGGAAUUGAUCAAUUAAACGUUUAGUUCUAAACUUUUCAGCAUAUAAAAAUGUUUGGGGUUUCAUGUAUUUUUCUUUAAAAGUAUUCUUGUAUUAUUCAGACGGUUGUUUUUUUUUUAAUCAUCCUUGAAUUAGGUUGAGGUAAUUCCACUUUUCACCCAGUUGAAGGCCAAAAUUAAGCAAAUUAGAAAAAUAAAAAUGUUCUUAGUUUGUGCAUUUUGGCACUUCAACGCUUGCUUUAGUUUUUGUAUAUAAAUUAGGGGAAAAGAAUGACAGUUCUUAUACAUUUACUUAAGUUUUGAUCGUUUUUAACAACAUAAAAAAUAAACAAAUUUUACCAAAAACUUUUGUAAUUAUUAACCUACCUAGAAAUUCCUAAUACAUUUGAUCCUACAUAGAUAUGAUUCAAAACCUCUAAUAAAAUGAUUCCUAAUAUAACCAAAACCUCUAUAUGAUUCAAUGUAUCAAUUUUAAUGCAUAUCUUAAGAAAUUUACAAGACAAUGAAAUGGAACAUCUAUACGUCUAUAUACAUUAUAAACUCUUAGGCACAAAUGAAAAUAGAGUAGAUUUUUUUAUACACUGUCAGCAAAUAAUUUUUUAUUUUUUUUUUACACAAGUUGAGUUAGAUAACGCCAUGUAACAUAAAUUCAAAUUUGACAUUUAAUCAUACACAUGUGGCAUACAUCCAAAGUUGCUUGUGUAAAAAAAAUUACUAUACUGUCAGUGCAUAAAAUAUUAAUCCAUAAAAAUAUAUGUAUGUGCAUGUAUUGUAAACUUUAUGUACAACAAAGCUGCACAUAAUUAAUUUUUUCGAAUUAGCAUUGGUUAAAAAAAAAAAAAGCCACUUGUGGUGAAGUGAAUAUACAGGAAAUCUCCCAUGAUUUCUAAACAUACAAUUCGACAUCUCAUGGUUUGAACUAAACUGAAAAGGCGACAAAAAUUGUCAAGACUAACAUGGGUAAACAAAAUGACAAAAAUACCCUAAUACAUAUAAGGAUAAAAUGCAGAAAACCUCCCAAUUGUUAAGCCAACUUACUAGAAAGUCCCUUGUGGUUUCAAAAAAUAUAAUAUACAUCCUUUCAUGCAUAAAACAGUUGCUCUAGUUUGGUUAAUAUCUAUAUAUGGGAUAAUACCAUGAUCACAAAAAAAAAUCCACAAUCAUCCAUUGCAUAGGUAAAGUACAUCCCUUUUGAUGGUUUUUUCGACCUAGACAAUUUUUACCUUCGCGUUUUGUGAACACUCAUAAAUCUUGUACUAGUAUUAUAAGGUCUAGUUUUGCUACCCACUCGAGAGCUUGAGAAAGAUAUAAGCAACUAUUUUGCAAAAUUUUCCUUCACUUUAUACAAAGAAAAGUAUUGAAAUUUUUACUUUAAAUUCUUAAAAAAGAGCCUCGAAACAGUAUUAUAAUAGCAAAAAUCCAAAUUUUAAACCUUUUCCCAUACCCCAAAUGUAGUGUACAUAAAACCGAUGGUUGAUUUCUCUCAAGAAGCUUUACUCCUUUUUCAAUAUUUUCCUAAAAGUUUUGGAUUAAAUCGAACUUGUAUGUUUCAAAACUACAAAGGGCAUUUCUGUAGGUUAAGUUGACCAUAGGGGCUCUUUUGUAAGGGGUAAAACGGGUAUAUCAAAUGAAAAUUAAUUAUAAAAAAACUGUUUUUAGGUACCACUUCCAACUUGUACGUUUCAAAACUACAAAGAGCUUUUCUAUAGGUUAAGUUGACCAUAGGGGGCUUUUUUGUAAGAGAUAAAAUGGGUAUAUCAAAUUAAAAUUAAUUAUAAAAAAACUGCUUUUAGGUACCACUAGUUACAAAACAAGUGCGUGUGUUUCAAACACGUUAGUUUUGAUGAUUUCCGUUGCUUUUUCAGUUUAAUUCGAAUCAUGAGUUGUUAGAUUGUAUGUUUUGAGAUCACAGGAGGCUUUUCAGUUCGUUAAACAACAAGAGGCUUUUUUUUUUUUAACCCAAUUAGCAUUUAAUAAAGUAAGGCAUCACUCGAAAAUUGAUCAGUGUAGUUCUAAAUCACAAAGAAAGAGGUUUGAGCAAUUGUGUAUGUUGUCAUUCUAAAUCAAUAACAUUUACAAAAAAAAAAAAAACUAGUUAGUUUUGGGCCAGAAAAAAAAAUAUUACGACGAAAUAGUAAUAUCUUAGAAAUGCUCAAAUUUUAGUCAUUUUAGAAAUUCCAUGCUUGGUUUAUUUUCUUCUGCAAAUGAAUUAAGAUCCUUUUGCAAGUGAACUACCAUUCUAACCAUACUCACUUCUCUAUUUGGUCCAACUAUUUUUAAGUAAAAGAAGAUUUUAGGAGUAGAAUUGUUUAUGACUAAAAAUUGUAUUACAUAUACAUGUCUUGAUUUUUCUCCUACGAAACAGAGGUUGAUUUGAUGUUUCCAGAGAUUGAUCAUGACUCAAAAGGGCACUACUUCCUCGUAAAGACCAACAAGGAGCAACACAUGGUGGUUUUCCAAGAAAAAGAAGUCCAAACAGGUUGAAAGCAAAGUAGCAAACUCGAUUGCUAGUCAAUCUGAUAACCAACUCAUGAGGGAUAUUGAACACAUUGAUCGUGAAAUUCAAGAGAUGCAAAGGAAAACCUUUUUUUUUUUUUUAAAUAGGGAUCCAUCCCUUAAUUUAUUUAUAUCCGAAAAGAGUACAGCGAAUUAGAGGGAGGCCAAACCUGACCUCUGUUAAAGUAAAAGGGACAGCUAAGGAUCAACAAUAAUACGCACAUAUGAAAAAAUUUGCGAAUCUAAACACAUAACAGAUGAAUCGAACGAAAUCAUCCACAUGAUGGUGCCCCACAUUUGUGGGAUUGCGAGUGAGCAUGGAAAUUUGAUUUAACAUCUUGACAUGUUUGCAUUGUUUUACCUUUUUUUGAAAGCUGUUUCCUCGUUUUCUUUGAAAUCACUUGGGUAAAUUGCUCGUGAACUAGUUUCUGGUUUUGGUCUUUGUCUUGAUCGCGUUGUGAAUCAUCUUUAAAGGGUUUUGAUAUACGAGGGAUCCUACCAUGUAAUUUCCCCCAUUUAAACUCUUCGAACACAUCUUUAAAUUGUGGCACAUUUUUAAACCGUGGAUUUUAAGGCAUAGAGGAUUUCGUGUCUGUUCUUAUACUUGUACUUGUACCCACAAGGGGUGUGUCUCCAACUGACACCAUAUCACGUGGGUCGUGAACUUGGUCUACCUUCACGAGCGCACCGUUUGCCACAUCAGACGUAAUUCCAUUACCUUGCUGUGAGGAGUCGCCAGCCUCCAUCGCCUUCUUUUUCGAUGAAGAAAACCAUUGAAGAAAUUCGAAGACGUCUGAUUUUUGCGGACGAAUCAGAGGUUGAUUUAGGGGAAGAUACUCACGGUUACUGGAGUUCUUCACUAAUCUAUGAUCACUAUGAAGAAGAAGAUGAUAACAGAGUUUUUAAUUUUAACACGAUGCAAGAAUCAUAUUCAUAUGAAUCAUAUAUGAAUAUGAUGCAUCCAUCAACUAAAUUUUGUUUAGACAAUUAUCUUAACGGCGACAAAAGUCCUGAGGUUGAUAGAAUAGUUGAUAAUAUUCACUCUAACAAAAAUCCAGAGGUUGAUGCAAUAGUUGGUAAUCUCGAGUCUGACAGAAGUCCAGGGGCUGAUGCAAUAGUUAAUAAUCGUCACUGCUACAAAGGUCCAGGAGUUGAUGGAAUUGAUGCAAUAGUUGAUUGUAGUAAUAAUCCCUUUGUUGUGUUGGACAAAGGAUCAGAUGCUGAUUUAUGGGAGAAUAAAGGGGUGGAUUGUAAAUCUGCACCAACUUAUGAUCUAUACAAAAGGGUGAAGGAAGUUAUGCAUUAGUAUGAUGCAACCAUAAUCAGGAUCCCUUUUAUACGAUGAAUUCAAUGAGAACAAAAGUCCAGCGUUUGAUACAGUAGCUGAAAGAAAGAAUGCCUUUGUUUUUAUGUCUUACUAUGAUGGUUUGAAGACCAGUUGGGGUUCAAAAUUAUUCCGGAAAGGGACAGCCGGGACUGUAUUUCUUGUUUCCUUGCCUUUGCUGUUCGGUUUGAUGGUUAUGGUUUUUAGAAUGUUAUAGUUUUCAUUUGUAGCAUAAACACUUUCGUGACGUUGCUUUCUUUUGUUCCGUAGUCGACUGCAUCUUGGUUUUGUUUCGCAGAACAUUCAAUAUCCUGUAUUGCAAGAAAUCAGGGGUAGACUUGAGUUUUCUUUUCUCGUGCAUAUUGUAAAAGAUAUCCUGAGUUGUUCUUAGGUGAGUUUCAUAGAACAUUGUUUGGAUCUAACUGCAAAGCAUAUUUGUUCCAGGGACCGCUGUCUAAUCUUAAUACCAGUUGCCCCGAAUCUCGAUUUGUUUCGGGUAUAUAGAUGUUUUUUAUAUUUCUUGGUACUCCGUUGCCUAUAUUGGCAAUCCAUAUUCUCCUUUGAUUUCAUCAGGCCUUGCUCAUAUUUUUCUGCCUGUUUGAAAUCCCUCCGCAAGUUUUAAGACUCCAAGUUUGGAACUCUCACAUUCAAUUUAAAAGUCAAGAAGAAGACUUAAAAUAAAUACCUUCCCCUAAUUUUACUAGUUGCAGCAACUAGUAGACAAUAAGAUUCUGUUUUGUUCCUUUGCCAGAAAAUCUGGAGCUCCGGAGGAUCAAGUCUUCUUCAUCACAAGUAGUUUAGAAUGGCAUAUUUUGUAGUCUGGUUGUUUAAAGUGCACCACUGUGACAGCCCCACCUCCCCCUAAGGCGAACCAAAGGGCUCGGCGGACCGCCUGCCCAACUCUCGCCGGGACUCACUACAGUCCUCAAUUAACAAUAUUUUGAAAUAAUAAAAUUAUGGGUCCUCACAACCACAACACGGCAGGAAUUAGCUAAAGCAAUGGGACUCUGAUCUUUUAUUUUGUCUAUCAGAUACAUUUUAGAUGGUUUCAGGAGAAGGGAAUUUUGCAGUCAUUGCUUGAUUAAUGUGAGAAUCAGUCAAGCUGCUUUUCAUGCCAAGAAUGUUGCUAGAUUGUUUGAGUUCUUGGAAGUAUCUUUGCUUUAUUGUCUAAUUCCAGCUGCAGCCCUUAAUUUCCAAGAGUAGUCAUAAAUCUAGAGAAGCAAUGAGCGAAGAAAAAAAUGUACUAAUGCUAUCUGCUUUUGAAUAUCAAUGUCUCAUUAGACAAAAAAGAACUUUUAGAGACAGGUUUCUUUCACAGUUUCAUUUGAUCAAUUGUUCUUCUAUCUUUUCUGAAUCGAUUCCCAGCAGGAUAGCACUGUUGUUUCCUGCAUUCAUAACUAAUACUGUCUUGAGCUUUCAUACUCUCAAUGAUGUUGAUUAAAAGAUAUCUGAUUGUGAAGAUCAGAAUAUCUAGUCACAUUUACAAAAUUGAUCUAGUGCAAAUGGAAAAUUCCAGUAAGCAUAUAGUGCUUAAAAUCUUAACAAAGUAAUCAAGAUACCGAAGACAUGAGAAACUUUUGUGGUAUUUUAUUACAUUUGUAGAGUGAAGGAAUAGUAAAGAAAAGUUACAUGCUACAUUUUCUGGAAGAAAAGAUAACUAAUAAUCAUAACAUCAAGCUCAGGACAAUAGUAUUCAUCGCUCACUUUGGAUGGUGCACUAUGAAUCCAUACGGAUAAGGCAUUGAUGGCCCUCUCCGUUUUAUUCAAAUACCUUGUUGAUCUCUGAAACUGGAACUUCAUGGGUGAUAAACUUUUCAAGUUCAGGUUCCCGCAAGCAUGAAGUUUUACUGAGGAUAAGAAAUCAGUGCCACAUAAUUGGUAGUUUAUAUGGCUAAAUGAAUGUAUACGUUUUGCUGCUGGUCAACAAAGCAAUGGCACGAACUCUGCUCAGCUUUUGCUAUAUUAUCUUACUAGUUCAACAAGAACAGAAUGAAUUAGAGAAAAUAUAGUAAUCUACUAUCUUGAAGUUUCAAGCGCCACAGGGAUAGUCAGUUAUUCUUUUAGAAAUGAAGCACUGCUUUGGGAAGCCAAUAUGGUAAUAUUACUGUGUCUGAACCAGCUAUUGUGAUUACAAUCCUGUUGAAGUCAAGAAGUUUCAUUGUCUUAAUUAUACCUGGCAAUUGGGCGGGUUGGGCGGGUUUUGAGCGGAUUAAUAUUGGGUCUUCACUUAAUUGGGUUAUACCCAACCCGCCCAACUUUAGAUUGGGUUGAUUUUGGGUUGGGUCAUAUUGGGUUAUCUCAAACCCAUGACCCAACUAUGACCCAACAAAUUAAUUCAUACAUUUUAAUACAUAAACUUUUUCACAUACAUUUUAACACACAAAAAAGAUUUUUUUCACAUAUAUAAACACAUUUUCACAUAUAUAAAUGUAUUUUCACACACACAAACACACACUCACUUCUUAAGUUCCUUGGAAACACAUCAUAAAUAGAAUAAUAUUUUAUAUUGCUUGUAUUGUGAAUUUUAGAUAAUAAAUUAUACAUUUAAAUAGAUUAGCUAAAAAAAUUGUUUACUUUGUACUUUUUUAAUACUACUAAUUGAAGUUCGAUGGAAUUAGUUCCCCUCCCCCCCCUCUCUUUCUUCUAUAAUCAACAAAGUUUUCAAAACUUAACUUCUCUAAUUCUUUUCAUUCUUCUAACAUGUUAUAUCAGAAUUCUGUUAAGCAAAGAAUCACUUGGUAGAUUAGCACUUGCAUUUGAAUUAGCCACCACCAUGAAUUCCAAGCAGCGUCAACGAAACAAAGAAGAUUUUAAUUCAUGGCCAUAUUUUAAAAGAAAACGAAACAUUUUUGUAUUCAUACUAGGAUCCAAACUUCCAAUUCCACAUAAACAUGUGAUUUAGUAAAUAAAGUGUUACAAGAAUAUAGAUGGCAAGGGAAGUGUAGGCUAUUUACUAAAAGCAGUUUAAGAAAAAUAUAUAGAUGGAUCAACUAAAUAAAGUUGAUUACGUGCUGAAAAUUUGGUCCCAUAACCAACUAUUAUUUUCUCUACUAGGCAUAGGGUUAAGUUGUUUGAUCUUAAUUACAUGUUUCUAAUUUUGAUUUCUUCAUUCUGAAUUUACAUUACAACCACAAUUCAAAGAACUUGUAGAAUGUGAUUUUUUGAUGGAAAAUUUUUAUAUUUUCCGUGAACACAUUUUCAAUUACCUUUUUACCUCACAUACACCAAAUUGUUACAGUAUAUAUAUAUAUAUAUAUAUAUAUAUAUAUAUUACAAAAACUCCUAAAAAUAGCAAUCCAAACAAGGUCUUAUUUUUCUUUAAUAUCCAAAUUGGAAAUAAAAUGUGUAUGUGCUUUCAUUAUGCCCAUCCAGCCACACAAAAAGUCAAUCCUAGAAGUUGCCUCUCAUUUAUAAUUUCAACAUGUUAUUUUGUUGUAGGACUUCUUGUAGUUUUUUUUAUUUCAAAAACACUUUCAAAAAUGCCUAAUCCAUAUGGAGCCUAUGUGUUUUCAUUUUUCAUAAACAAGAGAAGCUUCAACAACCCAUAGUAUAACUAUAGUGAAUUUUGUAAUUAAGACACCUUGCGUUUGCGUUUUCUUUCUUCCUUUCAGUUUGUUAUUGGAAACUUUUAUAUAAAUUCUAUUUGGUCGAGUUCGAACUCAAACUUGAAUAUGAUAACUCGAGUUCAAGAUUAAUUAUUAAAAACUCGAAGAGUUUGAGUUAAAACUCAAAUCCAAAUAUUUUUACUCGAAUAGAACUCAAAUAAUACAUAAUUCAGGUUUGACUUGAUGUGAUAACAACCUUACUUUUGUGGCAUUUUAGCCACGGGCUUGUACUACUUUGUUGAUUAUAAAAGUUGAGCAAGUUUAACUAUUGUUAUAAAAGUAAAAUAAGCAUGAGUUUUUAUUUUAAAUUUCUUUUUUAUUUUAAAUAAAAAUUUAAAAACAUGAUUGAAAAAAAAAAUUAUAUAUAUAUAUAUAUAUGAGAAUUUUGAAUACAAAUUAAUUAAUGAAUUAUUAACACAUGUCCAAAUGCAAAUAGUUGGGCAUAUGUGUAUUAAAUUUUGUAUUUAUUAUUUCGAAUUACUUUUAAACAAGUUGGGUAUUGGGUACUCAAAUAAAAAACCCAACCCGCCCAAUGAAUAAGUUGGGUUGUUCUUACCCAACCCAAUAAAACCCAUAACCCAAUUGACCCAACCCAUCCCUUAAAAUUAAUGGGCGGGUUGGGCGGGUUGUUGGGUUUUGGGCUUUUUUGCCAGCUCUAGUCUUAAUAAAACUACCUUGUUCAUGUACUUUGCAACCACUGGAGGAAGGUCAGACCGCGGUUUUUAGUUACCGUGGUCUAGAGUUGAAGUUGGUUUUUCCUGUGCAAACAUCAGACCAGAUAAUAUUUUGUCCAGGGAGGAAAAUAGAAUGUGGAAAUUUCAUUAUGAACACAUACAAAUGCAGAGAUCAUUGCGUUGAUGCUUCCAGCACAUUCAACACUUCGAUCUAUGCUACCAUCAUCUCAGCAAUUACCUAAAGACAAAACACUGUUUUCGCUGUGACCAGGAAGUUUAAUUUUAGAUUUUUUGUCUAAACACAUUAAGCAAAAACAACAAUUACCUCUUGAACAGGCUUGUCAAAGUCCUUUGGGUUUACAAACUCAGUGACACCAAAUUUUUUAGCUGUCAGCAGAUGAAAGGAAAUAGAUUAUCAGAUAUAAAUCAAUAAGCAUGUUUUCUUCCAGCUGUCAAUAUUUUCUUUGAUUGAUUUCGACAUUUCCAAACCCAAACUCAGCGACACCAAAUUUUUUAGCUCUCAGUAGAUCAAAGGUAAUAGAUUAUCAUAUUUCAAUCAAUUAGUGUGUUUUCUUCUAGCUGUCAACCUUUUCUUUUAUUGAUUUGGACAUUUCCUGGAAGAAUGUGAAAUGGAAAGAGAUGCAGCUGAAAGACUAACUUAGUCAUCUUCAUGAAUCGUUCAGAGUUUAGAUCAACCCCUAUUAUCCUUGAAGCACCUGCAACUCGCCCGUCUUCAGCCGCCUGAUAACAAAAAGUGGUAGGCAUGAGCAGCUGCCAACAGUAACAUGCAUGAUGAAACCAGCUUUUACUGUCAAUUGAAGUUUUAAAGUAUAGUAAUGAUUCUCACGGCAAGCUCAACAGCUCUGAGUCCAAAAAUUGCAACAUUGGAACCCUUGGGCGGGUUAGCAACAUUCAGAAUAGCACCAAGACCUGCACCAAAUGUACUUUCUCCAUAUUAAAUUUUGCAAGAAAGAUACAUAAAGAAAAAAAGCAUUCAUUAACAGUUUUGAGCUUGCCAAAAAUCUCCAACUUGUGGAUAUUCCACAGCUAAGAACACAAACUUCAUCAAAUGGACCUUCAGGGUUGAUCUUUGCAACAAAUCCCACGUACCAUAGUAUAUACACUGAAAGGGGAAGUUCCAAUAAAAUGAUAAAUUGGUUUCCCAUGUAUUGAGAAUCUUGACUUACCAUCACUAAGCAAUGCAUCACUCCUCUGUCACUGUUGAUGCUCUGACUUGCAGUGCUUGCAUUUCUUGCACUCUCCGGUAAAUACAGGAAGCACAAAAUCUCCAGCUUUGAGUUCUGUCACACGCUUACUGACACUAAUUUGAUUUUAUAUAUUGGGGCACAAUAAUCUUCAUUGAAAAGCUCAUCACUUCUUCGUACACCACCAGAUGAGACAGUGGCGAUAGAUUCUAAUGAAGAUUUUGAAAUUGCCACAGCCAUUCACACCUCUACUACUGUCUAUUGAGUAGAAUCAUCUGAACAUGACAGCAAAAAGAUGACAGAUGUCCAUAUAAUAGAACCCGCUCAGCUUGAUAGCAGAGAAGAAUCUGCAAUCAAUAUGUGAUAGAAUCUGCUGAAACUGAUAAGAAGGAAGACAUUAGUCUGCCUAGAGUAAAUGUCAUUGAACAUGAGAUCAAAGAGGAGAUACCAUGCAAUAAUGUGUCUGUUCAAUGGUCGGAAGGUGCUUUUUUCACAGGCUUGACUUGAGAAACAAGAAUGGUUGAAUAGGAUCGAGAGUGGAAAAAGUUGAAGAACCAGAAUGUAGGAAUGUGAGAAGUGUUGGAAACUUUUCAAAAUUUGUAUGAUGUACAUACAUGUAAUUAAUGUAUAUUCAUGUUUUUUGGUACAUGUAUAGUAUUGUGAAUGUUUCUAUUAUGUACAUUCAUUUAUGAAUGUAUUCAUGUAUAUGGGAAUCCUUGAAUGAAAUGAUAGAUUCAUGUUUUGAUCUUAAGAUCAUGAGAUGCAUGAAUUAAAAUGCAUGAAUUUGUACACAAUACUUUGAAUCUAUUCAUACAAGUAUUUUAUGAGUUCUUUUGUUUCUCAAACAAUCUUCCUAUAUAAAGAGGUCAAGUAGAGAGUGGUUUGCUGCAGAAAAUCACUUUCCUACUAUUGUAUACUCUCCCAAAAGCACUCCUUAGUUCAAAAGGGUUUGUCUUGCUUUGUGCAAGAGUGUAAGACAAACAAACUUCAUCUUAUCCUAAAGGAUAUUUGUCCAAGGUCUUUGCACAUCAUACCGGACAAAUAAAGCCUAAAGGAAAGUGAUCUUCUAUCACGAUUUGAAGCCAAUUCUUGUCACGAUAUUCGCCAGUUCAUUGCAAAAUUCUAACAAGAAGAGCCAGAUGUUAUCUAAGCCAAGAUCCUAUCAUAAGAGAUUCUGUAUCAGCAUCGUUCCAUUCUUAGUAAUUCGCCUGCAGAUUAUGAUCUUAAUCUUUAACAGGAAUGUGAAAUUUACUUUCACCAAAUGCUGUAUUUCGAAUUUUCAGGUCUUCUCACACAUUUUACUAUUUUUUCAUCCUCAUUUCUCCGCAGGUCUGUGCCUUCGAAUGACAUUUUUGGCAAACUCUACAAACUCAGAUCUGAAAAUAUUUUCUCCCCACGAAGUAAUGCAUCAACAGGACACUAGAACUGAGGAGUUUGAGGCUGCAAUGAGUUCGGAUAAUUGUAAAGCUCAACAUUGACAAGUAUAUUUGAUGAGAAUGUUUUUUUGUGAACGAUGAGUAUAGCUUCAUUCAUAGUAAUGUGGUAGUAGUUUAUUAUCACCUUAGUCCCUUCGGGGAUAUCCAAUAAAAGAAAGGUAUUGAUUUUCUUGAAAUAUAAUAUUCCCCACCAUUCAAUUUAAACUUUCAAAAGUCAGAACCAUCCGAGCAGACUGACAAAAUGGGAAUAAAAAAGGGUUAACAAUAAAAAAAAGCCCCCUGUAGUUUAGCCACCAUACAAAAAAGCCCCUUGUGAUUUCAUAUCAUACAAGUCGAUACCCCAUGGUUUGAACUAUUUUGAAAAGUGGACGGAAAUCGUCAAAUAUACAACGUGUGUCUUAAACGCACUGAAAGGCGCAUAUUUCUUGCAGAAAAUAGAUUUCUAUCACAAACUUUCACCUGAUAUGCCUACUUUACCCUUCACACUUUAAUAACAAGAGACGAGCUAGCUGUUUGACAAAAUAACAGAAACCCAGGUGGAGGAUUGCAAUCUUGUAUGAUCUUUGAACGCUAGCUGUUUGAAAAAAUGGCCUAAAGACACUAUCAACAGCAACAUCUCCACCUGGGUUUCUAUCUCGCUCUCUCUCCGUCUCACUUAGCUUCUUUAACCCCACUUUUUUCGAGUCUUAAACUUAGUUUAUUGCUUCUCAAAUUUUCUUAUUUUCCUUUCUGCUCUGGGUGGUUGGCACCACUCCCUGGCAAUGGACAAACACCAUCAGCAGCUGCCACUGGCCAAAUGCUCGCGGCAGCAGCGAUGCAGCGAAUGGUUAGUCUUUGGUCCCUGCUUUUUCGUUUAUCUAGCCGGACUUUUCUUUACCAAGUGCCUCCUUGAUUCAACAGUUGGGUCUUAUGUUCGAAAAUACCCUUCGAAUGCUGCCUUCAAUUUUGGCCGAAGCCGAAGCCUCGGAAGACUCGGAAGCUCGUAUGCUUAAACAAAUAAAUCAACAAAAUCUUAAAAAGGAAUGGACCAUUUCUACAGUCAAUAAGUAGUAUGAAGAUAGUGGGUUUGUUUUAUAGUAGAGUGUAUUAUUCUUUUAUCCAUGCAGAUAAAAAGGCGAAAAGGAAGCAAGGGACCGGGGCGGGGGGAGUGGUGGAAGUUUGUUUCAUUCAUGAAAGAAAGUCAAGAACAAUAUGCUCUUUGCCUGAAGAAAGGAGGAGGCAAAGCAAAGGAAAGCAGAAAAGAAGAGGGAAGAAAGGCCGUUAUUCUGUUUUCUGACAUAUUUUACUCCUUGUCCGGUUGUCCCCCUCAACUAAUCCUACUUAGUUUUCUUAUCCCACAAAUAAUCAAUGAAAACUCUUUUCUCCCUCUUUUUUCAAGCUCUGUUCGGAUACCUUUUAUGGGUUUUUUUGUUUUUGUUUUUGUGUAGGUGUUUUUUCUCCCCCGUUGGUUUCGACAGAAUGAAAGUGCAAAAUUACUUCUGCAAUUUUCGCUUAUAUCAAAAGGGUAUUUUCAUCUUUUCAUUCAAUUCCAUCUGUUUUAACGAUUUCCGUUGACUUUUCAGAAUAAUUCAAACCAUGGGAUACCGAUGCGUAUGAUAUGAAACUACAGGAGAUUUUUCUGUAUGAUAGCUAAACCACAAGGGGCUUUUUUGUUGAUAACCCAAUAAAGAAACAUAUCAUAAGACAACUUUCUAAUCGAGUUAAGCAUACAAUAAUGUAAAUUCUUGCUUUUAGAACAUUUAAUAUUCACUCGAGGGAAAAAAAUACACUAUAUCACUUUCGAAAAACAAUGAGCAAAAACUAAAGACAAAUGUUAAGCCAAGUUGAACUGCACAGACAUAACCUGGAUUUCCUUCCUCUUUUUUAUUAGAUUUUUUUUUUUUGCUAAAUUAUAGAAAGGGCAUAUUACUUGUUUCAAAAAUUAUAUUAUGAUGUAAUCAUAUUAAGCAUCCUAUUUUUGUUUUAUGGUUUUUUUUCCUUCAUCAAUAAUCUUUUAUGAGUUGAAUAAUAUGAUAUAUAGAUUGAUAAGAGAACAAAAUGGUUCAAAAUUCACAGUCAAUAAAAUGGAAGAUUUGUUUUUUUUUUCAUUUAGCAUAUCAAUAACAUACCAAAAAAAAAUUACACUAUUUACCUAUAAUUAUAAAAAAAAAUAUCAGGCAAAUUGAAUUUUCAUUGCAGGACUUUGAGUUUUUUAUUAGGGGUAUAAAUAAUAAACAAGUCAAAUUCAAGUAUUUAAAUUUAGGAAAAUAUGAAUGACACUCAAUUUUUGUUAAUGACACUCCCAUCAUUUGUUUUAUCAUGUAGUAUUAUAAAUGAAAAUUAUACGAUAAAAAUGAUAAUGGGAGUGUCGUUAGUGAAAAGUGGAGUGCCAUUCCAAUUCCCUUAAAUUUAUUUGAUUCAUUGAAUAAAUUUAUAAUUACAAAUUAUAUCAAACUUAAUGUUUUCAAUGCAAUAAAAUUGAGCUGAAAUAGAGGUUUUAUCUACACUGUGAAUUUGAUUAGGCUCCAUUCAAUUGUCUCGCAACCCUAUUCCAAAUUUUGAUAAACAAAUUCUUCAACAGCUAUUGGCCAUAUUAGAAUAGAAGAGCAUAAAACCCCAUGAUAAUGAGCAAUAAGUCUGAAUCCCGGCGAAAGUUGGCUUAGAAGAAAACUGAUGCUAGAUAUUUAAGAUGAUCAACCAAGGAAACCCAUGUUCAAAAUUAGUUCAUUAUCUCAAAAAUUGUAUCUUAAACUAAUCAAAAUAAGAAAUACGCAAGUUUGAAUACAGUACUCCACCUACAGCAUCAGCAAGGAUUUUUCAAAUUAUUUUCCUCUGUGAAAAGUUCAUUGUUUGGGAGGUAAGCAACAGAACUUUAUUCAGUCAUCUAUACUUUGUUUUAACCGUUGAAUCCAAAUUGAGUCACCCAAAUGCACCCAUUGUGGUAAGUGUCCUUUUCUCCCCCCCCCCCAAAUUUUUAAAAUCAGAGCCUUAAAGCUCACACCUUUCUUUAUACAUGAUCAUGUAUAGGAAUCAGUAAAGCAUGAUAUGAAAUUUUGCAAUGAAGAUAUGCUAUGUAUUUGUCUUAAUAUUCAGUAAACAAAUUAUAAUUCAAAAAAUUAUGAUUCAAAGAGUUUGAGUCUUAAAUUAAAGAAAUAUUAUUAUCUACAGUUCUUCUAUCAGAAUGUAGUGGCUGACUGACUUAACUGAGCUACUUUUCGUCAACCAUGAGAGAGAAUCAAGAAGCAGAACAAGAUAAUGAUCUUCUUGCCUUUCAAAGGUUAGUAAAAUCUUUUUCUAAUUUUUUGUGCUACAUUUUGCCCAAACAUUAAUAAAAAAAACCAUGCUUGUUCAUUUAAUUUUUAUCACUAUUAUUUUUAUUAGUUUUGUUAUAAAUAAAACUAAGGUGCAAUAGUUGUUUGACUAAUAGAUAUGCUAAAGGUGUUCUUGAACUCCAAUAGAAUAUUCUGUUAAUGUGAGAAAUCUUGUGGUGAAAUGUUUAAAUUAUUCAAUGUAUGCCCUGGGCUUGACACAAAGGAAGUGAAAUCAUACAUCUUAAUGGGAAUGGCUGAGAUUUAUAUUUAUCUCUGUGUUUUCAUGAAGGGCCAAUCUGAUCUUAUGUCCUAGUAUAGGAAAAGUCCAAUAGGAAUGCAAUUUUUUUUAUUUUGUUAAAAGGAGUGUAUAGAAAAGUCAUUCAAAUGUUACAUGUCAAUUAUGCAUUCAGUUAGAGGGUUCUAAGAAGAUUUAUUUUUUAUGAUCAUGCAAUUGGCUUCGAUUACUCUAACUUGUUCAUGCUUUCACUAGUGUACUAGUUGAAUGUCGUGUUUUCCUAAUUUAACAAGAUCCCUCACCCAGGAGGACAUUAAAAGAGACGUGCAGUACAUGGAAAAGGCCACAUGGUUGAUAUAGCAAAUAAUUAAUUUGAUCUCACAUACCUACACAAAACUGGAAGUAAAUCCACUAAAACAGCACUUGGGAUCCUCUGUGACAUAUUUGCAAUGCCAAUCCAAUGCCACCUAUAGCAUUGUGCCAAGUGUCUUAUUAUUAUUUACACUUUAAUUUUCUAAUAAUUCAAAUUAGUUUGGUUUAACACAAAUUUUCUAAUCCCUCUAAACCUUUGAACCAAAAUUAACCACUGGUCUAAUUCAUCUACCAAUACUUUCAUCAUUGAUUGCCUUCAAACCCUUCAAACUCUCCGAUCCACUCCGAUGAGGUCCACACUUCACUGCCGAUUCCUUCUUCCUCCGAUGAGGUCCUUUUGAUUGGCUCAUCUUCACUGCCGAUUGGCUUACCGUCAAAGGCACCUGCGGCUACGGAGGCUACAGCGCCGGCACCACCACCACCGCCAGAGGUGCAGCAACCUGCGCUGUCUCAGACCCCACAAAAAAUCCAGAAGGAAAAGGCUGCCAUGGCUGAGAAAGACGUGGAAAUGAUGAGACUGAAGCUAGACAAAGCUCUCUCCGGCAGCAUGGACCGCCGCUCUGGUUUUGAUCUCGUGGAUCACUUGCUUUUUUUUCUCUUUGACUUUGUUCAAAGCAAUCAACGAUGAAAAGGUUUGGACUUUGGAGGCAACGGUGCGGCAGGGUUAUCUUUUUCUUUUUUCCCAGUGGUUGCCGUACAAAAGGAACCCAAGUGAAAUUAGACCGGUUGAUUAAAUUUUGGUUCAAAAAUUUAGAGGGUUAAGAAAAUUUUGUUAAAUCAAACCAAUUUGAAUUAUUAAAAAAUAAAGUACAAAUAAUAACAGAACACUUGGCGCAAUGCUAUAGGUGGCAUUGGUUUGGCAUUGCAAAUAUGUCACCGAGAAUCCCAAGUGCUAAAACAGCUAAUACGCUAUGAAGACUUCAUUUACUGCUCCAUUGACUUCUUUGAAGGAGCUCUACUUGAUAUCCAUUUCUCCAUUUAUGCAAAGGAUUGGACAUGGUAGUAUCAUUCUCUAUUGCUUAUCCAACUCUAUAGGUUUAUUCAAAACUAAAGAACUAUGCAAGAGAAAUAUCAAGUUUUACCUAUGUGCUAGUGCUCUAAGAGAUGACUAUAAAAGUCUUGAAGGGACUCUUACUUCACUUGAUCGCCACACUCAUCCAUAUUUUAUAUUUGUUAGCUUUCUAUUGAAUAUUUCUACCUCUUGAGCAAGUUCUGCAUGUAGUGCUUUUAACCGCAUACUUCCAAUCGGAGUGCUAAAACAGUUGUCGUUGUGUAAGCCGUACAUUUGUUUUGCGAUCUAAGCCACUUUAACUCUAAGAUUGGCUCUAUCUUCCAUGCUUUUAAACUUUCUUACUACAUUUUGUGAGGUUGUUUCCACCUAAUGGACUUGAUUUGUCCAAUUAGGACUUUUUAUGAGUUUUUAGUAUGCUAAAUUAGUAUAUAAAUGAUUAUCUUAACAAUUCCACAUUUUAAUUAAUCUCGCAUUCUCGUCGAAUAGCUUUUUCCUCUUUCAGGAGUUAACUGACUAUUUACUCAAUUAAUUAAACUUUCCUAUUUUCCCUUGAGGUUUAAUUGUCUUUAUGGUGUUCUGUUGCCUAGAUGCUUUGGUGUCUCCACUGCUUUACUCAUUAUACUUUCCCUAUCACAUAUCUUGGCAAUCUGUCGUUUUCCAAGCUUUUAUGUUUCGAUCUACCAACUAACCAGUUGUUAUUUCUUUCAUACAUUAAACACUCUGAAAAGAAAAGCCUCGUUAGACCCUGCUGCCCUCCUUUCAUGCCACCAGGUGUCAAGGCUCUGGAGAAAGUCAAUCUCGUUUAGAUUACACCGAGGUACUUCGGAAUUUCUAUGUGCAUUAUAUAAGCAUCGUCUGCUUUCUGAUUCCUCUAUCAAUCUUUCUUAUUUCUCUUGAACCUUUAAUUCGACUGUGGUUUGCAAUCAGAAAAUGGACUCUAGGACAUGCAACAAUUCUAUCUGGACGAGAGAGGAGGAUAAAGCAUUUGAGAAUGCCCUGGCAUUCUAUUUAGAUGAUAGCAAUCUAUGGGAGAAAAUUGCGGCUGUAGUACCUGGAAGAACAGUUGAGGAGAUCAAAAUGCACUAUGAAGUCUUAGUUGCAGAUGUAAAUGCAAUUGAGUUAGGCCUUGUACCUUUUCCUCGUUAUGCUGAUUCUUUCAAGAAGUCAAGAAAGCUGGUUGGGCAUGUUGCUAUUGACAGAAAGGGAAAACAAUGUGAAAAAGUCCAGAGUGAAUCCAGUUGUAGAGGAAUAUCAUUACGAUCUGAUCCAGACUGCAAAAGGGCUACAUGGUCGGAAGAGGAGCACAGGUAGGCUAUGUUUCAAAUAUGUAUUCUUACAUGCAUACAAUUAAUUUUUGCUAAAUAGUCCUUGAUAAUCUUUCGUGGCUCUUCAAUUCGGAAAAGGAGCACAGGUAGAAUAUGAUUCAAAUGUGUAUUCUUACAUGCAUACGAUUAUAUUUUGCUAAAUAGUCUUCCAUAAUCUUUCGUGGCUCUUGAAUUAUGAUGAUCUCGAAUCUCUUAUUUUUAUCCCUGAGAAACUUGGUCACCGACACAUGUCAUUAGACUUAUAGAAUAGUCAUGCCAAGUAAUUUCUCAUAGAUUAAUGCAUUUUAAUUUUGUGGUAUUUAUUAAGGUAUUUUUCUACAUAGAGAAUUUUGCUAAUAGUGUUCUUUGCUUUCAUAUACUCUGGAAUUGCACAUUAGCACAUUCCUCAAUUGUAUGGACAUUUGACAUUAAUAUAUGUAUAUACUUUGUCAUCAGGGUAAUCUUGAUAUUAAUAUAUAUAUAUAUAUUUAUAUGUAUGUAUAAUCUUUUGUGGCUCUUGAAUUAUGGUAAUCUUGAAUCUCUUAUUUUUAUCCUUUAGAAACUUGGUCACCGACACAUGUCAUCAAGGUUAUAGCAUAGUCACGCCAAGUAAUUUCUCAUAGUUUAAUGCAUUUUUAAUUUUGUGAUAUUUAUUAAGGUAUUUUUUUGCAUACAAAAUUGUGAUAAUAGUGUUCAAUGCUUUCAUAUGCUCCAGAAUUGCACGUUGGCAUAUUUCUCAAUUAUAUGGAUAUUGGACAUUAAUAUAUGUAUACACUUUGGAUAUUGCACAUUGGAAUGAAAAUAGACAUUUCACAAUGAGUUCAUUUAUCAUUUUAUCACAUAUGCUAUUGAUAUCUGUAUAGCAAUAGACCUGUUUUUACCAUUGUCGCAAUUGGCCAUGUGCCAAUAUGACUACUUUGAGAUAUGCAUUUGAAACAAGGUUUCUCAAACACAUAUGUGAAGUAUCUAUGUGUAAUCAUUAAUCGUUUUUUGCAUUUUAUGCGUUAACAUGGUGAUUCACUUAUUUAUAUGAGUUGCAUCUCCGUUUUUACACUUAAUCAUGUGUUGCACAUCAAUAUUUGAAUUUGCUCGUAAGUGUCUGGUGAGAGACCUGUGUUUUUUUUAAUGCUCUAGAGAAUCAAGAAAAUGUGUCAAAUGUGCCUGAAUGAUGGUGAAUGCAUAUGUGAUGUUUUUUUCAUGGUGUUUCUUUCUUUAUACAUUACAAUUCGAUUGGUUAGAUGAAAGCAAAUUUGUUUUUGAUUGCAUAUUAAUAUAUCUAUAUUGCUAAGAUGAUUGCAUCUUUGAUUGAAGGUUGCAAAGUAUCUUUUUGGUAGAAGUAUAGGGCCUGUUUGGAAGCCAGGUUUUUGGACAAGUUUUUUACUUACUAGUUUUUUAACAACUUUUGCUACAGGAACUCCAAAAAACUUCUCAAAAUUUUUUACCUACACACUUAAAAUAUCCAAAACACAAAAAAAAAAAAUUUUCCCUUCCCCUUCUCUUCUUCUUCUUCCUCCCCCACCCCAACCCACCACCACCUUUGUCGCCGGCCACCACCUCCGCCGCCGGUUCCGGCGCCGAUCACCUCUUCCGGCGCCGGUCUUCUUUUUUUUUUGCCCUUUUUCCCUCUCCCCAUCUUCCUCCCCUGCCAUCCUCCCCUCUGUCUUUUUUUUUUCUCUCUACGUCUUCCCCACUCCUCCCCCACCACCCUUCCCCUUCCCCUCUGGCCGAUCUAGUCGCUAGACCAGAUCGCACGGGGGAGGGCGAGGGUGGCGGGGGAAGGAGAGGAUGGGGGAGAAGGAAAAUUGCCCAAAAAAAAAAUUUCAUUUCGCUGCUUCAUUUGCCGACAAGAGCAAGGAGAGGAGACGGGAGGAGAGGGAGAGGGAAAAUGUUAAAAAAAGAAAGGGGCAAAGGGAAGGUGAGAAGCGGAAAGGGGAACAGGGGAGGGGGAAAGGGCAGAAAGGGUGGCGGGGGAGAGAGGGAAGGGGCAGAGGGGGUAGCGGGGGAGAAGGGAGUAAAGGGAUGGUGGGCAUAAGGGUGGCGGGGGAGGGAGUGGGAGGGGUGGCGCCCAAGGGGGUGGCGGCAGAGGGGGAGGGAACGGGGAAGGGAAUGGGAGGGGAGUGGGCGGCCGAGAGGGGAGGAAAGGGGUGGCGGGAGGGAGAAGGAGGGGGGGAGAGGAGAAAAGAAAAAAAAAAAAGAAGAGAGAUGGGGCUGGCGGAGGUGCUGGAGGUGGGAGGCAGAGGUAACGGGGAAGGGGGAGGGGGAAGGAAGAAGAAGAGAGGAAAGAAAAGAAAAAGGAAAGAAAGAAAAAGAAAAAGAAAGAGAGAGAGAAAAAGAAAGAAAGAAAAAAAAAGGAAAAAAAAAAUUUCAUCUUACAAAAACUUCUACAAAAUUUUUCACAUUACAAAAAUUUCUAUAAAAAAAUUUUUCACCUCACAAAAACUUCUACAAAAAUUUUUCAAAAACUUCUACAGUGCACUGCAGUAAAGUUUUAGACAAACUCCCAAAAAACUCAGGUUCCAAACAGACCCAUAAUUUGAAUGGUAUACUGUAACUAUACUACAUACUUGACAAAUGAAGAAUCAAAUUAAAUAGCCUAAUUGCCUAUUUAGCUUGAAAAAGCUUAAUCCUAGCGACAAUAAUGUUUCUCUUCAGUUAACUGUGAUUUUCAAAUUCCAUUAUAUAAGUAUGUAAAUCUAAGUAUUCUUAAAGAUUUGAAAGAUGCAAUCUAGUUUCAUUGUCCUAUUUUACUUGUUGUUAUUUGAAAGAUGAGAUUUCAAAGCCAACCAUUUUUCUCUCCCCGUAAUAUUGCAUAACAGAUUAUUUCUCCAAGGCUUGGACAAAUAUGGGAGAGGUGAUUGGAGAAACAUUUCCAGGCUCUGUGUCCGUUCUCGAACUCCUACACAAGUGGCCAGCCAUGCACAGAAGUACUUUAAACGAACAGUUGUUGUUGAUAAGAAGACAAGGUCGAGUAUCCAUGAUGUAACAAUUCUUGACAAUGGGAAGAUAGUAACUCAACAAGUUCAGACCACUCAACUAGUUGUUAGAGCUUCUGGCAAUUCUAUCAUGGACACUGGGUUAUACCAGUCAGUGAAUAAUAGAGUUAGUGGUGAUUAUCUGCAUGGCUCUCUGAUUGAUAGCCAGUGCAAUAUGUUUUCGCAUGUGCCGAGCACUAAGGAUAUUAGUGCGGGAAUCGAUUUGCUCGAGUCUCUACUUGAUUCCCUGGCUGAUACUCCAACUCCCCAAGAGCCAAGCAGUCAAAAAAUUUCUGAAUUUACAAGUGCCAGUUUGUGCACCCCAGUGAAUGCAAACCAGCAUAUGCCAACUAAUGGGGAGGUAGUUAUUGAAGAUACAAUUACGCCUGCUGAUUUAGAAAUUUUUAAUUCCCUAUUUAUUUUCCAGCAUGACAUGUCCAAUUCGCAAGGACCUAUCAUCGGUGAAGUUAUUGGAACUGCUGAAAGUCCACAAAUGCUCAAUUUUGAAGCAUUGCCAUUGUCAGUUCACCAUGAUUUUGGAGUCCAUGCUCCUCUAACUGCUAGCCAGCCAACUCUAGAUCCCCUACUUUCAGAUGGGAUUCGGGGAUUAUUUCCCUAUCCUGGGUCGUCAAUGUUUGAAAUGGACUUAUCAGAUUUUGCAACUUUUUUUUGUGAUGAACCUGAUGAAGUGGCUGCCCCGACUUACCCAGCACCUCUAUCAGGCCAGAACUGAGUGAAUCAUUGUGAGGGAGAUUUGUUCGCAAUGUCAAAAUGAAGAAGAACUCGCAUGUUCUUCACAGAAGUUUAUCCUACACAAAUGUAAUUCUCCCCUUGCUCAGCUCUCUCGGUGACUAAUAUUCUAUUUUGGACUGGUUUUCAGAGUGUGUGUAAAAUAUGUAUUGUAUAACUAUUAGGACGAAUUUGCCAGUAACUUGUUAUAUUAUCUGCUUUCGAUAUAGUAUAAAGGUGUAAGUAAGUAGAUAAAUGGCACUAAGAACUUCAGUAAAUUAGGGUAAACGAGUGUUGCAAUCUGAAUUAGUAAUUAGCAUCACGUACUUUGCUAAUUACCAACCAACCCAUGAUAUGGGUUUGCAAUGUCCAACCUAGGCCCCAACUUAGCUUGAAAGCGUGAUCGUCUCUAUUGGGCUAAACAUGACUUGGUCCUCUUGCAACUUCAACGCGUGAGUUUUGCUUUCAUUUUUCAUUUUUAUUUUUUGGAAAAAAAUAACAGUAUUAAUCCUACUCUAGAUAUUACUUCUAAUGAGGAUCGAAUUUGAGUUUUUGGGGUAAGGAAGCUAGAGGCAAUGACACUAGUAUGACAGCAUUUUAACUUUUUAAUGUGUAAAUUGGAUUAAAUUACUUAGUUUCGUAACGUCUAAUAGACUAAAUACAUAUGAAAACUUCGAAAGGAUACUAUUUGAUUCUCACUUUUUCAAAAAAAAAAAAGAAUUAAGACAUGACAUGUCAAUAUAACACGUUUUUUCCUUUUUGGAGCAAAUGCAAGGCGUGCAUCUUCGUGUGUGUGUGUAACACCUUUGAAAUCUCUUAAUUCAUUUAUACCAUAUAAAUUUGUUUGUGUGUGUGUGUGUUUUAUAUUUUUAUCAAUGAUUUAACCCCUCUAUAUGGUAGGAAUUUUUGUGAAGCAUAUCAUAUACUGAAGUGUAAAUGGUUAUCAUUCACUAGCCAAUCCUUUUCACGAUUAGUUAACAAUACAGCAGUUAAGAAGAUAUUCGUCUCUGAGUGACCGUAGUAGUGGUGAAGUGUAUUUACUUGGCUCUUUCCUUUUGACUGUUCCAUGUUUCGCAUUUGUUGUAUUCACGUCACCUAUGAUUUAAGUAAAACAACGUUGCUAUCAGUUCAACCACUACAAAUCUUAAAAAGUUUUAGGUUCCAUUCGAUAAAAGUGAAUCUGAAUUUUGAAAUCUGAAUACUAAAAUAAUUAAUUUGCUGAAUUUUAAGUACUGAAAAGAAAUAUAUGAAUGUCUGAAUUUUAAUGCUAAACCUAUUUAUAUUGUUUGAUAAACAUUUAUAAUUGAACGUUUAAUAAGUUAAAUUUGAACAAUUUUGCCCUUAUAUCUUUUCAUCCAAAAAAGAAAUAGAACCUAUAAUUUAAUUAGUUUAAAAUUGUUAGGUAUGAAAAUGACAAUAUUUAUUUUUAAAUGAAAUUAAUAUAAAAGAUGAAAUAUAUUAUAUGAGGAGUAUGGAGAAAAUGUGAAAGUCAUUAAAAAUAGAGAAAAAAGAAGUAGAAAACCGUUAGAUAGAGGAAAUUAGGUUGUUUAAUUAGAUAAAAAUUUUGAACAUAAUUAACAAAUAAAGGUAAAUUUAGUAGAUAAGAUAGUUGAAGUAAUUCUAUUGAUUCUUAUUAGAAUUAAACAUUCAGUUAGGAUUCUUGUACUGAAAAAAAUACACACAAAUUCAGCAAUGCUUAACAAGUUCAGUAGAUGGAUUUUUAUUUAUCAAACAUCCAAAACAUCUGAAUACUUAAAAAGGUUCAGUUUCAGCAUUUUUGUAUGUUAUCAAACAGAUUCUUAAUCUUUUCAUUAUUAUAGUAGUAUAUUUUUACCACGACUAACUCCUCUUUUUCAUAAACCAAUACUAUAACUUUUCAAUUUAACAUUCUAUAACAACUACCUCUCCCAAUUAAAACACAACCCCCUCCCCCCCCCCCCCCCCCAAAAAAAAAAACUACUAGGAUUGUGAAAAGAAAAGGAAAAAAAAUCAAGUUCAAAACACUGCCAUUUCUGUUGAACAACAAUUGCGAGUUAUGACUUUUGUUGUGGUACUUAGAAAUCGGUUGAAAUGAUGGAUUUAAUCUACAACACGCGUUAUCUUACUUUAUAUCAGAUUUAACUUUCAAUUAAUAGUUUGAAACGUUUGAAUGAUGAAUACCAUCCUAUUGGCUUAGUCUAAAAGAAAAAUAUCCCUUUUCACUUGAUUCGAAUCUAGAUGGAGUAAUAUAUCUAUUAUCUAACUAUUUGCUUGUAGUUAAUACCGAAAUAAUCUGCAGGUUUUGUUAACAUGUUACGUUAGCAUUUGGAAUUUUGUAAUGAGCAGGUAUUUCUCCCCGCGGCAGGCUUUGGACUAAUAGAGCUAAGACAUCAUUACCUCUGUCCAUAAAAGUAGUCAAGUAUUUUUUUAUUUUUUAUUUUUUAUUUUUUUUGGGGGUAAGGAUAAGAUGGCAAAAACACUAGAAAAGUCCAUGGAAAUUUAGAUUCAUCAAAAUUAUUACCAAGAGUGACGUGCCAUUUAGCAUGAUCAUUCAAAUAUUUGUUUUAUAUAAUGAAUUUAUUUUUUAUGUAUAUUAGAUCCAUGCUGUACUACAGAUAUGUUAUAUUAUUACCAAUUGCUGUAUUCAUAUAAACAACUAUUUUGGAUUUAAUGGUAACAUGAACAGUGGCACAUAGCCUAGCUCAUUUGGAGAUUGGAAAAACAAAAAUCACUUUACUUAUCUGAUAAAAUAUCAUUGAUAGUAGUGCAUUAUGUGACAGUAUCAAAUGAUUAUAAUUAUUUGCUAAUAUCCUUUUAGGGUAUCUCAUAUGUUAGUUCUUAAUAAGUGAGAUUAAAUAAAAUUAGAAAAUUGCUCAAAUUAACCCAAAAAAAAAAUCUACACCCGUUCAAAAAAAAUUUUUUUGGAAAGUGAAAUUAAAGGGCAUCAUUGGUAGUGGUGCAUUAUGUGGAGGUAUUAUACGGCAUAGCAUAAUGAAAUUCCUAAUAUUUUUUGGGGAGUUUCAUUUGUUAGUUUUUGAAAAGUGAAUUUAAAUUGGAAAACACACUCAUUGUUAAAUGAAGAGAUUUUUUUUUUAGUGCAUUUUUUCAAGCAUCACAUAAGAAACAUCAACAUGUUUAAAGUCUUGUCCUCUGAUACCGUGUGGCGCCUGAUGGUAGUUAUGGAAGCUUCUUAAAUAGUCAAAUGGAGAUGGAGUUUGACUUGGCUUCCUCGUCUCGACAAGCCUUGCAAUUUCUUGUCAUCGACGCAAAAGGAGUGGUUACCAUCCAAGAUUUGCGUGUAAACUUGUGUCGGCCAUACCAUAACAAAGGCAAAAGCAUAAAAUUUUUUUUUUUCACUUAGGGAUAUCUCAAUAUUUUUGCCAGACUAAUCUCCUAAUACUGUAUAGAGCCUCAUCCCAAGCAUACACAGUAAAAUAGCAUAUUGGGAUCAAUCAUAAGAUCUACUAAUAAUUGUCAAGUUACGGAAUCAAUUAGACUACUAGCAAGAUAAAGUAAAAGCAUAAUUACAAACGGCAAUUUAGACCCAAAAAAAAAUCAACUUUCUAUACCAUACAUGUGAUUUUGUGUAGCUCGAUUGGCAGUGAAAUUCUUGGAAAAGUUAAGACCAUCAAAUACUUUAUACACCUAAACUCCAUUUAUUAAAUUGUUUAAAUACUAGAGUUUGUCUAACAACUGGGCAUUCCAGUUUUGAGUAUUUAUUUUUUACAAUAUGAAAUUAAUUUGAGAAAAUAUCUAAAUGUAAAGUGCAUCACAUAAUAUAUAUAGGUACAAUUUAAGGGAAGUUAAUUCGAUAUGAGAUAUAAUACCAUUUUAGAAGGUUUAGGAUCAAUAAAGAAAAUGACAAAAUCUAUGUGGUCAAGCCCGAUCCGAUCUAACAACAGAACAAGUUUAUAGUUGGCAGUGACUACAGGUACUAUCAAGCCGAGUCGAGCUCGAGUAGCACCAUACUCGAGCUCAAACUCGAUCAAAAUCAGUGCUACUCAAGCUCAAACUCGAACGAAUAAAUAAAUUUGGACUCGAGCUCGACUCGAUAAAAUAAAAUUAAACUCGAACUCGACUCAUUUGAGCUCGAUUAAAUAUCAAAUCCGACCUACUCGAGCUCGAGUUUUGAACUACAUCUAUAAGUUUUUUCUCAAAAUAUAUAAAAUAGAAAUAUAAUAUGAAUAUAUAAUAUAAAUAUAAUAUGAAAACUCGAUUCAACUCGUCGAGCACUCGAGUAUUUAUUUUUGGAGCUCGAACUCAACUCGUUGAAUGUAACGAGUAGCUCGAGCUCGAUUUUGACCGAGCUCGAGCCAAGCUUUUGACCAAGCGCUCGCAAGCUACUCGCGAGCGGCUUGACUAGAUUGCACCCCUAUUAGGGACCAAGUGAUGGUCACACAAGCAGUGACGGAGCCAAAAUUUUGUUCUUGGGGGCAAAAUUUUUCCUAACAAAAUUAUCUUAAUAUAUUAUGUUUAAAAUAAUUUUCAUCUAUGUAAAUAUAUGAUAUCUAAAACAUCAAAUUUUAAUUUUAAUUAUAAAGGUAUGUAUAUUUCAUAAAUAUGUAGCGUAGCAUAAUAGAAAUUAAGACAAGAAAUAAUUUUUGAUUAAAUAUCUUUUAACAUCACAAACUAUUCAAGUUGCACAUUAUGAGAAGAUACUCCAAUAUGUCAUCUAUAAAAAAAAAUAACUAUACAAUAUAAAUAUAACUAUUUUUAAUUAAAAAAAGAUAAAAAUUAUGUUAACAUACUUUGAAAUUUCAAUCUCUUUUAUUAAAAGUAAAUUGAGUUUUAUGUUCUUUCAUAGAAAUAAAUUCAUUCUAUGAUUGAAUCAGUGUUAAAGUUUUCAGCAACUUCCUUUCGUACCCAUACCUGCAUCCUCGUGACCAAAUAUUAUGGAAAACAUAGGUGCCUGGCCCUGCAAAUUGACAACAGCAAAUCCUGUUAAAACCGUGAAACUAUGAUUACCACAGGUUCAUAACGCUAAGGUAUAAGAUGUACUACAUUUAUUUCAUUUUCAUAUAUGAGUAUAACCUUUGGCUGUUUGGCACCCCAAGAGUAAACAUCAGUGUAUCUGUGCGUGGCAAAGGGAGGUGAAGAGGAUCUUCAGGCAAACUUCCAUUGCUAGGGUGUUGCUACCUCCAUUUCUUCAAUCACCAGUGGCAUUCCUGGUUCCCAUGCCACAGCAGCUGCAAUAUAUAUUGCACGACAGAGGAAUUACAUUAAGCAGAAGAGUACAUUGUAUGCGGUCUAGGAGUUAAAUUAGACAAAACAAUUUGUCAAAGCCAGUGAUUAGAUCAAAACCGAACUUCUAAAUGGGUAAUUCUGAAAUUGUUCCUGAUUUUUGAGCCCGUUAAAGUCAUCAAGAGCGGAUAUGGACACAAUUUACAGUGCAAGACAAUCAGUAAAUGCAAGGCCCGAAACUCGCUGGACAGUUUGAUUGACUUAGGAAAGCUUCCUACCAUCUUGAUUUCCGAAUCAGAGACGGAAUUCUUUGGCUUUUUAGUUUCAAAUACAACAUAACUAUGAAUGUACAUAAAAUAGUUGUGGAAGUACAAUUGCACCGUAUAACUUGACCUUCAAUGCUUGACAUCUUGAAUCUUCUGAGAACUUGGCUUUUGUUGAAAAUGAUUGUUAGGCACUAGGCAGGCAGUUUUGUUGUGAAGGGCGGAGAUGUUCAACGCUGAUAUUUAGAGUAGAAAUUCCAUCCAAGAAUCCUCAUUUAAAAUAUCAGUGUUUCUAUUAGUGAUCAACUUGUGAUUUCAGCUACACAUCAACUCAAGGGAAAAUUACAAAAAUUGUAUCUUACCUUCCAAAAACUGGGUUUUUAAAUGAAAAAUAAUUACAAAAUUAUUAUAAUUAUAAUUAUUAUAACUAUGCCUUACCUUUUCUAUUUUCACAUUCAAUGGAGUAAAAUGAUCACUUACAUAUAAAAAGUGUAUCAAUUUAAUCCCAAAACUUAUAAUUGUCGUGUACAUGUGCGUCUAAUAACACAAAUGCCACAAGCUGUAGUUACUAGUUAGCUUUUCUUUUUAGUUCAUACAGAAGCGAGCAGUCCCAUUCUAGAGACGAUUUCCUGUAGUAGUUUUAGCAGGAAUUGAUUGUAAAACAACGGUAUAAUUAGGAAUGGCAAUCUGGACAGCCAAUGGGCACUCUCCCCACUAAAGGCUAAAUGGGGCUGGGGGAGGAGGGGGAUGGGGGCAGAAAUCCCCUUCCCUGCCCAAUUUUAUAAGGGAUGGAGAGUAAGGGAGCUAGGCUACCUCCGCUCCAUCCUGCAAAGUAUGUAGUAUAUGUUUUAUAUACAUUAAUUUGAUGUAUAUUAUUUCUAUGCUAAUACUCAUGUUACAUGUAUACAUAAACGUAAAUAAGUAAAAUGGAUUCUUGUUUUCUUUGUUAUACAUACAUAUAAAGCGUCUGUUAUAUAUUUCAUUAAUUUACUUGUUUGUUUGGUAGUUUAAAAUCUCAACAUAGUUUUCUUGUAUUCUUGUGUUACACUUUGUAAUAUUUCAUUUCUUUGUUUACAAAGAAAAAAUAUAUAUAUACUUCCAAUAGAUGAAUUUCAAAUCAGGGGCUGUUCAGUGCAAGGACUUGUGGGGCGUUACUCAAUUCAAGAAAAGAAAUAGGCUAUGAGAGCUACAAAGCAACAAAAAGAAGGAAUAAACAUUGAUGGAAGAUGAUAUGAAUCUUCUGCCCAUUCUAAUAAAUAUGCAACUCCGCCAUCAUUCUGAUAUGGACUUAUGGAGUUGCAUAUUUCUACCAUCAAUCUAUAGAAGAGUGUAACACGGUGGCUGUCCAAUCUAUAAAAGUGGAGAGGGUUCUCAAUUGAAGGAUUUUAAAGAUGAAUCUAAUUCAUUUAAAUCUGAUUUUGAUGAUCGAGCAUUAAUAUCUAGUAUAUCUUUAUUAUCUAAGUUUGAUCACUCAUUAAUUGCUGAUUGUCAUGUAAAUUUUGGAGCUUAUAAUUCACUAAGAAUGGAGAAAAAAUGGACUGUUCAUUUGUGGAUAGUGCUAAUCAAGAGCAUAUUGCGUUGAAUAAAAUUGGUAAAUUUGUUAUUGGUUAAUUAGCCGGUAAUAAGGUAACUUUCUUACCUAAAGUUCUUAGUUAUCAAGGUGACAUUAAAGACUUUAGUUUGCUUGUGAUGGUAUGGUUUCUUUCUAAUGUGUCUUUGCAAGCAUUUAAUCCUUACCUUGGUGAAUUGUAUGACUGUUCUUCAUGCAUAUUAAGAGCUAUGUUUCUUAAUUCAUUGACACGUGAUAAAAUGUUUGACUUAAUUGGAAUUGUUUUUAAGGUAGUCUACUAUCAUAAUCAGCUUGAGUUAAUAAAGUUUGAUAGAGCUGCUUAUUUACAUUUUGUUGGACAUGUUCAAGUCAAUUUGCGUCAUCUUGUGAGUUGUCUUUGUCCUAAUUGUAGGAGUCUAGUUUCGAGUCCUUAUGCGUUGUUUGUGAUCAUCUUAUGGGUUUCCUAAAGUCGUGUGAUCAUUACGUGUGCUCUUGUAUUGUCCCUAUUCACUUGAGUUGGAUUGUGUUUCUAGUUGUUUAUUUGCAUGCGGUUCGCUGUCCUAGCAUACAUGUCGUCCAUGCAAAUUUUGUAGUGUAUCAUCUUGAUGCUUGCGCUAACUUGAGUGUACUUUCAGGUCAUGUUAAAGCAAUUUGGAUGGUGCAUGGCAUCCAAAUAUUUCUUUCUUUUUUUUUCUUUCUUUUUUUUUUAGGUAUAAUCCACAGGGGUCCGCAUCCGUUUUACGGUCUGCGACUAAUCCUGUUCGAGCCGGAUCCAGCUCCUUGCAGGAAGAAAUUCUCCCAACAUUGUUUUUUCCAUUCCCAUGGGUUUCGAACCCGAGAUCUCAUGGUUAAGGGAUGCAAGCCCCUUCCACUUGCACAAACAUCCGUUGGUUCCAAAUAUUUCUUUCUUGUUAUCAACUUAGUGAGUUCGGUGUUUAUGAGUAUUCCAUCAUCAUUCAUUCCUCGUCUUUUGUGUUUGACCCAGACAUCGAUUCAAGAUCAUGGUUAAUGCAGCGUGAGCUGGAAUGUAGGGAAAUUGGUUCGAAUUCGGGGCCAUGAUUCUUAAAAACAGAAAUUCUGAUUUUGAAUUCACAAAUUAAAAUCGGAAUUCGGUUACCUAAUUCGAUUACAAUUUCGUAUAUAUAAUAAUAUAUAAUACAUGUAAGUCAUUAUAUUAUAUUAAAAAUAGUAGUAUAACACCUCAAACUAACUAAUCUAGAUCGUUAUAGUAAAUGCAAGUCAUUAUAUUAUAUAUAAUAAUAAUAGGAUAAUACCUCUAACUAACUAAUCUAGGUUAUUUUUUAAAAAUAAAUUCCAAACCAGUUUUUUUAAUAUAAAUUUGGUGAAUUCAGUCGAAGGCAAAAUUCUAAAUUGAAUUCGAAGCAAAAUUGUAUUCGGAAGUUUUGAAUUUGAAAUCAAAAGAGGUCGAAAUUUACCAGGUUCAAUUUACCGAAUUUUUUUGAAUUCAACUUCCGAAUUACCGAUUUCGAAUUCGAUUCACAUCCUUACUAUAACAUGUACAUUGAAUCGUGUUCAUGCUAAAGUUGUGUGGGCGACAUGCCAUGUGGAUCAUUUUAAGUUUGAAAUGCCAUGUGCAUCCAAAUGUGUAUUGUGAAAAACGCUGAAGUUGGGGGGCAGAAUAUGCAAUUUAAGGAAAAAAAAAUGUCCUAGUUUCCAUGGAACCUCUGAAGAGUUUUGGCAAGUUCCCUUUUUUGUCUCAAGUGCCAUUCGGCUUUAUCUAUACUUGCUGUUAUCUUUCGAUGACUAACUAAAAUUUAGAAAAAGGAAAUGUUGAAUGCCUAGUUAAGUCCCUAUUACCAUAACUGUAACUUGCUAAAAAUUGAUUCACUUUCUAAAAAUUUCCUUUUUCUUUUCUUCCUAUAUAUUACAUUUAGCAUUUCUUCGUUUUUGCUCGUUGAGAUUAAUUUGUAAGAUAGCCCCAUAGCAAGAGAGAGUCAUGUCUACGUCCAACUUGUCAAAAUUCAAGUGCUGGAAUUUUUCCAAGAAGAAGACGAAUUCUGGCUCCAAGAAAGAAGCAAACCAAUCGUCACAUUCACCUGGUAAAUCCAAGAUGGAGGUACAAAUUUAGAUGUUCAGGACCCAUCAGAGGAUUGUGGCAGAUUCGGAUCAGAAAUUGAAGGAUUUGAAUGAGAAAUUCAAUGGUAUGAACAAGAAAGUGGAUGAAGUGCUAUAUCUGGUUGAGAAGGUUCACUCAAGAUCAAGAACGGCUGCUUUGAAGGAUGUAAUUCAACCACGCUGAUCUUAUUCAUAUAUUCUUAGUUUUUUUAUUGGGAAAAUGAUCGGUUUCAUCCUUCACAUUUCACAAAAAUAUUCUUUUCGUCCCUUACUUUUAAAAUGAACCAAUUUCGUCCUUGACAUUUAAAAACUAAAAUUAUUACAUCCCUGAACCCAAAUUUCAAUCUAAAUCAAACCACCAAUCAAUCUGAUUACAAAUUUCGGGGGUGUAAUUGGUAGAUCACUUGGUUAACUCAACUUGAUAUUCAUGUGAAAUUUAAUUAACCUAAAAAUAAAAAAUAAAAAAUUAUAACAUAAAAAAGAAAGAUUAAUCUUUUCUACAUUAUCAUUGUAUACACUGACGGUUUUAUGUACCGCCAUAUCAUUUUAAUUUAAAUUUAAACAUCAAAUUUUAUAUGUAUGAUACACAUCUAGAUUCGCAAGCAGGCAUACUAACGGUGCAUGAAAAGUUUAUCAAAAAAAAAAACUCUACUAUUCCAAGAUAAAGAAUAACCUUUUAUGUUAUAAUUUUAAUUUUUUUGGUUUAAUAAAUGUCAUGUGAAUAUGAUGAAGUUGACCGAAUGAUCUAUCAAUUCUAUUUUUGAAAUUUAUUACUAGGUUAUUGGGUGGUUUGAUUCAGAUUGCAAAUUAGGUUCAGAGAUGUAAUAGCUUUAAUUUUUAAAUGUCAGGGAUGAAUUUGCUUCAUUUUAAAAGUGAGGGACGAAAAGAAUAUUUUUGCGAAAUGUGAGGGAUGAAACAGGUCAUUUUCCCUUUUUUAUUUUUAGGUAACUAUAAGUAGGCAAUGGGGCAAUUAUGGUGCACGUUAUAUUUGUAUGGGAUAAUUUCAUAAAUUUCCUGUAAGGUUUCUAAUAAUUUCGCUGAGUUUUCUUGAGGUUUUGAAAAUUACACUUGCCUCAUUUGAUUUGAUACUUUUAAUAACCCAAACCUUAGGCUUGGUCAAAACUUUAAAUGAGUAACCUAAAAUACGCUCAAUUUAUAAAGUUUAUAUUACUUUCCAAAAUAAUUGUAAAAUAUAUAGCACAAAUAUAAGGAAGAAGUAUCAAGCUCUAAUACCCAUAUUUAUUAUUUGAUAAGCUAUAAUUACACUAAUUAUUAGCACUAGAAAAAUGAUCAACUAAAACAUUGAAUCACAUUCAAAAUUAUCAAAAAACAAAAGUGACCAGUUCAAUAGUUGGUAACGAUAGCGACAAGGGUCAGUAUUUAUAGUUCUGUGAUUUUACUCGCAAAAUAUAUAUAUAUAAAAAAAAAAAGAGGAAUAAGAAGAGAAAAGGAAAAUAAAAAUUAAUGAUAAAUUCCAUUCUUUGCAUAUCAUAUCCAACAAGGGAUUAUUAUUAAAAUGGUAAGGUUAAUAUUGUCAUUUUAGGUGGGCAAAGGAUGUAAGCGUAAUUUUUGAAAUAUCGAGGGAGCUUAGUGAAAUUGUUAGUAACCUCAGGAGAGGUUUCCAAAAUUAUCCCUAUUUGUAUUGAUGUUCUUACCUAGAAUUUUAAUGCGACACAUUAUUAUUUGAAAACUUUUUUGUAUUAAUUACAAUAGCUUUUUUUUUUUUGGUGAUUCUUUUGAAUUCAGGAAACCACUCCUAGAACUCUUGAUACACGUGAGAUUAAAAAAAUGGUUGGAAAGAUAAAAAGAUCAUUAAAAACAUAUUUGUGAUACAAUAAUUUUUUUUUUUAUUUUUGUGGCCAAUCUAAACGCACUAGUGUUGGUAAUUUACGUGGAUGUUUAGACAUAUAUUAGGAUAAAUUACCUUUUGCCUCCUAUAAUUUGGUACUUUACCACAUAACUCUCUUAUGGUUUAAAAACAUGCAUAUAACCCUUUCAUGGUUUGAAUUAAAGUGUCAUCGAUAAUUUUUCCAUUAAAACUAACAAUCAAUGCAAAAAGUUAAAGUCAAACUAAUAAAUUGAUAAUGAGGCUUAUGUGACAUUGAGGGAGUUAUAUGUAGGUUUUUAAAUUAUAUGAGACUUAUGUGAUGAAGCACUAAAUCCCAAGGAGUAAAGAGUAAUUUAUCCAAUAUAUUAAGAGGUAUAUUACCUACUCAUAUGUAUAGGACAAUUUCAAGACUCCAUAGUAAACUACAUUAAUGACUUGGCAAUCAAUGGAUAGUUGAAUGUAUGUCAAGUAAAAAAGUGAUUGAGAUAUGAGUCAAGAGGAAUAUUCUAAAAAAUUUUCUAUGAAAAUUGACAAUCCAAAACGAGGUUCAAAGAAUCUGCAUUUUUACGAGGUUAAGAUUAUUCAGUUUAUACUGUCUUCACAUAUCAAGUGACCUAAAACUGUCUUGCAUAGAAAUCAUUAGGCUGCAUGCUAAGCUUUCAAGUUUCAACCAAUGCCUUCACAUGUCAAAGUAACCUAAGCUCCCAUUGUGAGAUUAAACUCCACUCUACAACAAUUUUGUUAUUCUAACAUCCAUUACUUUCCAGAAAAAUUACCCAGUAAAAGCUCCAGAAUCAGUGUUUCAGCUGUUGAACAUCUAACAGCGCCAUUGAAAUCCAGAAAACUAACGUUAAAAUGCAUUUGGCUUCUGGACGUAGUAUAGAAAUCACAUGUAUUAAAGAGAUAAUGACUUGAAUUGAUAAUCAUUCCUAACUUGGACUGGAAAAUAUAUCGACACAAGUUUGAAAGGCAGGCUACGGUGAGCCAUGGAGCAUAAUUUUACAGGUUAAAACACCACCUAAACAACAGAACAUCCCAAAACUGCACCGUUCUAUUCGCUAUCGGGUAAUUCUCAUGCAUCGUGUUUCUUCUUCUUCUUCUUUUUCUC
rnacentral:lncRNA from 1 species